rnacentral:lncRNA from 1 species
AGAACAAGUGAUGUUUGUUUUUGUAUUUUAGAGUAGUUAAUACUCUAAAAUAUAUGCAAGCUAUUAAGAAAUAAUAAGGUUUUGAACCUCUUACUUAGAUGGUUCAACGAGUAUUUAUACCCCUUGAACUUUAUCGUUUUUAGAAAAGGUAAGGACUUAAAAACCCUUGCUCUCGGUGGCAUUAAUAAGAAACAAAUAUCAUUUACAUAUUAUUAUUAAGAUAGUAAGUGUGGUAUGUCCCUUAAGAUAUCUUUUGUACAUCUAUAAGUGUAAGGAGAUCAUUACCUCAUAUAUAAAUAAUUUAUGUAAUUGUUCUAAAAGUAGGAUUCCUUAGUCUUAGAUACUCAAGACUUGAGAUGUAACUCAACCUAGGUUAAAAGACAUGACAGUUUAUCAAACUCAUAACACUUUCAGUCUAGGUAUUCAUCUAGGACUUGGUAUAUUGCCUUGAGUUUAGUUGAUUGAUGAACCCAAGAAUAUUGGAUUUGACAUUUUAUCAGAUCCAUAUUUCAUUGGGUUCAACUAACGAUUGAACCCAAGUAUGUUGGGUCUAAUAUCUUACCAGACCCAUGUUUUCUUGGCAACUAACAGUUGAACCCAAGUAUGAUGGGUCCGACAUCUCGCCAAACCUAUGUUUCCUUGGGUUCAACUGAUAGUUGAACCCAAGUAUGUUGGGUCUGACAUUUUGUCAAGCACAUGUUUUAUUGGGUUUGACUAAUCAUUGAACCCAAGUGUUUUGGGUUUAUCAUAACGUUAGACCCAUGUUCUUUUGGGUUUAGUAGAUUGCUAAACUCCAAUGUAUUGGGUUUGUCAUUUCGCCAGGCCUAUAUUGUUUUGGAUGUAAUACGUCAUCAAACCCAAUUUACAUUGCAUUCAGUUGAUUACUGAACCCAAUUAUUUGGGGGUCUUGUGGUCUUGCAUAUCGUCAAACCCACCUUGUUAUAGACUUUUUCAAGUCUAAAAAAGAUACAUAAAAAAUAAUUACCUUAUCAGUUGCCCUCCAAGCCUUUAAUGUGUAUCACACAUAAAGGCUUAAAAGGUGUUUUGAGAGACUAUAAGUCAGGAUACAUCUUGUCUUCCUUUGGGAAGAGACAUUUAAGCCUUGGUGAUUUGAAAUGAUUUAAAAGGGAAGAGGAAGCUAACAUCUUAGGAAUAUCACUUGAUGGUGUGCAAUGAAUGUUUACUGGCUUUUAACCUUUCUAUAGUUAUGAUGAGAUGUCAUCUGUCCUUUAUUUAUUGUCGGAGAAGGAGGGUUGCUCGUAUAUAAAAACCUUCAUUAACUUUAAAUUAUGAUUUUUACUUCUACUAAAAAAUUUCUCUGUUUCCUUAACUUAGAAGGUUCAAGACACAAGAACAAGAUAUUUUUAUCAUAUAUGAAUUUUUCUUGUUUAGGUAAACCAAAUCUCCAUCUUCUUCUUUUCUUGUAUGAUUUUUGUUUUGGUUUUUCUAUUUUUCUUUAAAAUAUUCAGAAUGACUUCUAGAAAAAAAAAAGAAGGAAGUAUCCCCUAAGGGGGAUUUUACCUUAAUGUUAGAAAAUAACAGUGCUCGCCAGAGAUCAUUGGCCAUUAGGAUUGGCCCACGGUCUAGAAUCGAUGCUUCUCCACCUUCCCCCUCUAGAAGGAUGGAAGACAGAAGUCCUCAAGAGGUUGCAAGCCUUAAAGGGAAAGAACGUGUGCCCAAGACUCCCACUACUAAUGUUCAGAGCUUGGUAACUCUAAACCAAAUGGAUGAGGCCAAUCUCCAACAACCAGGAGAUUAUGUGGUCUCGUUACCAAAACAUGGUGACCGUGUUUCGAAGGUCACCAAUAAGCACAGUGGAGGAAAUAUAUUUUUUUAUAACUCUCAUUUGCAUGUAUGAGUUUGGGUACUCGUUUCCUUUACAAGGUUUUAUAAAGGAAGUGUUCACAUAUUACAAUCAGAGUCCAACUCAGCUCCACCCUAUUGGGUGGACCAUUCUAUCUGCAUUCAAUAAAUUCCUAAAAAUGUUGGAUGAGGAACCCAUAGUCAAGGUUUUUAGGCAAUGUCGCACCCUGAUUAAAAGCGUUGAAAGGGGGCCUUUCUUUCCGUUGGUUCUUUAACUUUGCCAAUAAGCCAAAUGGGCCUAUAUAAGCGACUUUCAAAGAAACGUCAUCCCACUCGAAGAACAAAAAAGGACAUUGGGUGGCGGUAAGUUAUCAUGGGACGGUAAAGCCGCAAGACGGUACAGUGUCACUUGGGGUUGUACAUAUUAUUAGAGAGCACCUUCAGCGGGUAUGAAUGAUAGGUGUCAUAACUUGAUUUUUUACUCUUUUUUUCUUUCUUGUUUAAAAAAUAUCCAAAAAGUAUCAAAAUAACAACAAAUAUAUACAUUAUGUGUUUGCGUUGUUUUUUUUAGCAUUUGUAGCGUCUUUUCAAAAAAAUUAAAAAUUAAAAAAUUUACUUUUGACGCAUUUGAUUUUUAACGCACUCAUUUCAAAAUUAUUAAUCAAUUUUAUUGAGUUGAAGUUGUCUUUUUUAAAAAAUAUUACAAUAAAAAAAAACAAAAACAAAAAAUAUUUGGAUAAGGAAACCAAAAAUGCAAAGGAAAAAAAUAAGGGACUAAAGUGAAUUUUUUUAGUUACUUGAAGACCAAACAAUUGGGGAGAAAAUGAUAAAUUAUUUUGCCUAUAAAUAAGUGGUUGUACCACACACAAGAAAAGGAGGAAUUUUAGGGAGGCCAUUAAUAAAUAAAAAAAACUAAAAGAAAAUACAAAAAAAAUUACUCUCUCCAACUCACAUACUCUCCCAAAAAUAAUACAUAAAAAACCCUAGACCUAUUAUUUCUAAACCCAGUCGCCAACCACUGUCAUACCUUCUCUCCAGCAAUAACCAACAUAAAAAAAUAAGCUCAAUAGCCACUAGCACAAUAGCAUAUUUUCCCCUCCCCAAAUCCACGUCAAUCAUCUCACAAUCUCAGCUCCCCACAAAGGCCCAUUUUCUUCUCAUUUUCCAGCAUCCUCCCUCAACUUUCUCUCAUUCUCUCCACAAUAUCAACACAACCCCUCUUCUUCACUAUUAAAGCUCACCACUCAACAACUCCUCCAUUUUCAGUCGAGAUGAAUAAUGUCACCUUUAAGCACAAGCCAAAAAACAACCAUCUUCCCCAAAAAUUUUCUUGAGCUCCACUAUACCAACCAUCAAAACCAAAGAACCACCACCUCAGUCGAGAGUUCAAUCUCUCCUCCCCACCAAUAGUCCCUACAUUAGUGACCACAAUGCUAGCUUCUCUUUACCGUAACCCAGCCACGUACCAUCAAUCAUACAAGUUCAGCAUCACCGACUAUUAUACCUAGUUAUAGACCGCAGCCUUUUCUUUAGUUCCAUCAUCAAUCGUGAUUUCUCUUCCUAAAAAACACACACAACUAUGACCCUCAACCACCCAUCUCGGCCCAAACCAUAACCACGACCAACAUCUUCUCUUCCUCCGUUUCCCAUGUUGCCUUCUCUUAUUCUUCCUCAGCCACUAUGAAUUACAACAGCUCCAACAACCACUUACAACUCUAGUAAACACUUUUCGACCUAAUCUCAAAUUAUUUUUUGGACAAAUUGUUAUAAUGUUGUGAAAUUUGAGAUAAAAUGCUUUAUUGUUUAUAAUUUUUGGAUUGUUUAGACUCUAAUAAUUUGGUUUGUUACAAGCACUCACCAAACUCUAGUUAGCCACCAACAACUACUCUUGAAGGAUUUUUUUUAUCAGCAAAUAACCUUAUCUAAUAUUGAUUUAAGAGCCAUCUAAUUGGAGAUUGAAAACACAACAAAUAUGAUGCGCCACAAUAACACUUUAGUAGUUAAUAAAACCAUGCAGGUCAUGGUUGACCUGUUAGUAUAUAUGCCCUAUAACAUUGAAUUUGUUCAAUGUAAACUUAUUUAAUUAUUAAUAAAGACUAAUUUAUCUUUAACAUUCAUCAAAUAUUUGAUUUAUAAAUCUAAUAUUUAAUUAAUAAAUCUAAAGUAAAGAUAAAGUUCUAGAAAUAAAAAUGCUUUGCAAAGGAAAUUAUAAAGUUUUUAUAAUUAAGAGAUUUAUAUUGAAUCAAAACAUUGUUCCUAAAUGUUCCUGAUUAAUGUUCUAUUAAGACUAAACAUUAAUUAGAGUCAUUGAGACUUGUACAUAUUAUGUUAUUUUCUUUUGUAAAAUGAAACAAUUAUUCUCAUAAGCUAAGAUAUGAAGUAUACCUAAAACUAAUAUGUAGGUUCUUGUCAUAUCAUAUGUACAUUAAACUAACCCGCAUGAGAAUUUCAUAUAAGGAGAUCAUUUAUAUCUAUGAAAAGGCUCAUGUGAUGGUUGUGUAAGUGAUGCUUAAACUUGAAAUCACUAAGUUAAUUUAUAUAGAAAAUGUUAUAUUUUAAUCAUGUUAUAUGUUGUCCUAAUCAAAGGUAACAAACAGGUAGAUAUUGAGUAUAACAUGAACAAGAUGAAGACAUUUAAGUAAUUAAUAUAAGAUUCAUCACCCUAGAUGAAUUAAGAAAAAUGUUCUAUCUAUUCUCAAAUAGUAUUGAUUAUAAAUCAUUGCGCAAGGUGGAAUGAUAAUUGAAAAGAUUUUCAAAUCUUAUUCAAAUAAUCAAUGACUAUGAUGUUGAGAAUAAACAUGAUUUGAUAAAAUAGACACACUUUAUGCUAUAACAUUCAUUGUUGAUAAAGAGAUAAUAAUUACAGUAAGAAAUUGAUCAUUAAAAGGUUAAGUCAAAUUAUUUAUGACUUUUCUAAAAUUUAAGGAGGUUGCAAGAAAUUAUAUUUGAUAUUCAAAUAUAAAUCAAUUAAUUAUUGAAUCGAUAAUAAAUUAUUUUAUUUUAUUUUAUUUUAUUUUAUUUAGGAUUGCGAUUUAUAUUUAAGUCAACCUAUUAAGGAACUUAAUGGGUCACACACAUAAGAACCGUUAGUUAAAAAUUAAAUUGGGAUGAUUAAUCAAGUGUGACCUGAUUGUAAAUAAAUUUUAAAAAUGAAGGAUUAUAAUUUAAUUUAUACAAGGAAUUACAAUUCUAGACCUUGAAAAAAUCAUGUAAGGAUUUGAUUUAAUAAAUUUUUAAAAAUUAUCCUAAAAUAAUAUAUGUGAUAUUAUUCAGGCGGCAAAUUAAUAUUUUGCUAUUUAUAGUGUUUUCAGAUUUUUCUAUAAAUAGAAUGUUAUAUCUCUUAUUUUCUAUAUAGUAAAUAGUAUGUAGUACAAUAUAGAAUAUCUAAAAAACACAAAAGAAAAGAGAUAGCACUCAAAGGUAUAAUAAUACCUCUCUCCUAAAAGAUUUAGAAGACUUCUCACUAGUGGUUUGUGUGAAUUACUGUUAGAGACCGGACAUUUAAAAGACAUGUAAUUUGCGAUAACCCAACCUUGAAGCAAUUAUUUAAAUCCAAAAAGAACAUCUUAUCUUCAGGUAAUCUUUGUAUAAACCUUAAAUAACUCUAGAUCUGUCUAAUGAGAUCUUGAGACUAUUGAGAAUUUUUAAAUUUAAUUUUUUUCUGCGUGUCUGUGUUUUGAGAAAACCAACACGAUCAACUCAAUUAGAUUUAGAAUAUGAGAUAAAAUUGAUCUCUCAUGUAAACACCUAAUGGACAAGUAUAAGGUUAUUUUUCAACAGCAAACUCUUUAAUAAAAACAUAUGGAAGUUCUUAACUACAUCCAUGGUAUCACCUAUUUGCAUAGCAAAUAUAGUUGCAACCCUAACAAAAUUUGAGCAUGAUCCCACAAAAGUUGUCAGCUACUAUACAGGUGUACAAGUAGCCUCAGGCCAAUUACAUUGCCCAAUAGCCUUACUGGUAGACAAUUUAACUUGUGCUUAGGUAAUACAAUACCCUAUAAGCUACCUUUAAGCAAGGCAAUAUCAAUCCUUAUGUACCUUAAGAACCCAUUGUUGGAUAUAAACCAAAAUUUUUUUUGAUAAGAUUGAACCAGUGUAACACUUACGAGAGAUGGAUCUAGAAAUCAAGUGUACAACAAGACUUGCAUACCAUCAUUCAUACUAGGGGUGAGCAAAAAACCUAAAAACCAAUUAAACCGAGAUAACAAAAAAAAUUAAUCUAGAAAACUGAAUCAAGAAAAAAAAUUAACCGAUUAGAAAAUCAUAAAAAAAAUCUAGUUCGGUUUGAUUUUGGUUUCAAAUGCUUGAAAUCGAUUGAACCGAACCAGUUCAACCAGCACUUUGAACAAAUAAAAGAGAGUAUAAAUAAUCUAACCCUAACCUAAACCAAAGUAGCCCCCUUAGCCCCCUUUUCUCUCAACCUCUCAUCUCUCUCAAAUCCAUCCAUAUAUCUUAUCUUCUGCUCCAGGCUCUCUUCUCUCUCUUAACCUAAAAGAUCAUUGUUGAGUUGAUCUCAGGGUACUUCCUUUUGCUUUUAAAGUAGUUGGCUGAGCAGAUUUGUUUUCCUUUCAGUUUCAACCGAUUUUCAGCUUCUAUUUUCCUUGACACUUUGUGGGGUAUUUUGGGUUUUUUUUUUUCCUUUUUCCAUGUUGUAAUUUGUAACUCUGAUUUUGCUUGUAUGUUAAAUAGAAUUCAAUCAGGUCUUAGACCAUGUAAACUGGAAUAAGUUCCUGAAUUUUGUUUUUCCUGCCAUUUUUUCUUUUCUUCAUGGUUGUAUAUAUAUAUUUUGCUUUUGUUCAUACGGACUGUAAAAAUCAUAAGGUUCUAAAGAGGAGUGAAUAAUUGUAAGUGGUAUUGAUCUCGAUCACUUUGUUGGAAAAAUUGGAUAAAGUAUUGUUUUACACGUCUGGAAACUGAUGAUUCGAUCUAUAGACUUCGAUUUGAUAUGAACUUCUCCUAGGCUUAUAGUUAUAAGUUUCUUCUUGGUUUUACCAGUUUUUGAACAACAUAAACUGAACUGAACCGAACCGAAAUCGAUUGAUUUGAAUCGGUUUCGAUUUAGUUUUGGUUUUGAAUUUUAAAAAAUAAUAAUUUUGGUUUGGUUAUUUUUUUCAAGUGAAAACCAAACCGAACCGAAUCAAAAAUAAUCGAAUCAAAAAUAAUCAACCCAAAUUCAUACCCUGAAUAGGUUGAUCGACUCCAUCCAAUUCCUAGAGAAAUUAAGAUCUCUUGGAAAGAUAAUGAGUCAACAAGGGAACAUAUCAUCAAAUUCACUUAUUAAUUAGGUGAUGGUGUUGCCAAUCCCAUAAUAAAACUAAUGUUAUUUGGUUUUUUAUUGAUCAAAAUGCCUUCCAUUGCUUCUCUUUAUUGUAAUCCAAUUCCAUUAAUAGUUUAUAGAGACUCAUUUUCAUGAUCACUUUUACAAAAUAGAACUAGAGGUAACACUAACUAACUUGACCAAGAUUUUUCAAGACCUGGGAGAAUCCAUAGAAAGUUGUGCACUUCACUUUAGAACUCUAGAAAACAACAAAACCAUAGUUAUAACAGAGUAGGAAUGUAUCAAGUUAAUUCUAGAGGGGAUGCAAUGGAAUAUUAGAAAGAGAUUUGUUGAAACCAAAUAUAUUGAUAUCUAUAUCUUUAUUGAUUAUGUUGCUCGAGAAAAAAAUACUAGUAGAUAAUUAUAAUUGAUUUGCAAGGCUUUUAUCCACCUCUACUUAGAAUUUAAUUGCUAAUUAUAGUUUAUCCACCAUGAAAAUUAAAUAGCAUGUUGAUCCGGAUUACCUGAGUUAUCGAUAAAAUUAACACUUAUUAAAUUAUUAAAAAAAAAGAUAAAUACAUGACUUGAUUAUUCAAAUUAUUGGAAUAUUUUAAAAUUAUUGACACCUUUUGCAAUCAUGAUAGUGUCAAAUUUAAAACAUUCUAAUUCACAUUUCAAGUACAUACUUUCUUGCUUUUAAAGAUUUAUGUAUAAAAUUUAUUUGUAAACUUGCAAGUAUUAUCAGUAUUGUUUUUUAAGAACCACUAAUAAAUACAUGUAGUGAGAAUUUAUUUGCCAGCUUGCAAGAAUCAUGAAUAUUCUUCAUAAAAAUGUUAUUGUACAAUAUAUAUAUAUAUAUAUAUAUAUAUAUAUAUAGGAUAAUUACAAAAAAAAAAAAAAACUAUUAGUUUAAUAUGGUUUGUAGUCAAUCGGUUGGUUACAUGUGACAUUAUUAUAUUCAUGUAAAUACAUAUUUAUUAUUAAUAAAGACUUAAUUUAUCUUUAAUAUUCAUAUAAUAUUUGAUUUAUGAAUCUAGAGUAAAGAUAAAGUUCACGAAACAAAAAUAAUUUGCAAAGAAAAUUAUAAAGUCGUUAUAAUUAUGAGAUUCCUAUUGCCUCAAAGAAUUGUUCUUAAAAUGUUCUUGGUCGAUGCUCUCUUAAAUACUAGACAUUCAAUAGAGCCGUAGAAACUAGUAUAUAUUAUGUUCUUUCUUUUAUGAUAUGAAACAAUUGUUCUCAUAAGGUGAGGUAUAAGGGAUACCUAGAACUAAUAUGUAAGUGCUUGUAAUAAGACAUGUGCACUGAACUGACCCACAUGAGAAUUCUAUAUGGAGAUAUCACAUGUGUCUAUGGAAGGCUCAUGUGACGGUUGUAUAAUUGAUCAUUAAACUUGAGAUCACUAAGUUAUCUUAUAUAGAGAGUGUUAUGUUUUGAUUCUGUUAUACAUUAUCUUGGUAAAGGUAACAAAUGAACAGACAUUGAAUAUAACAUAAACUAUAUGUAGGUAUUUGAGUGAUCAAGAGAUAAUUCAUCACCCUACGUGAAUUAGAGAAAAUAUUUCACAUGUUCUCAAAUAGUAUUGAUUGUUAAAUCUUUGCACAAGGUGAAAUGAGAUUUGAAAAGAGUUUUAAAUUUUAUUCAAAGGAUCAAUGACUAUAAUGUUGCGAACAAAUAUGAUUUGACAUGGCAGACACACUCCAUGCUAAAAUAUCUAAAUCAGAAUAUUAUUGAUGAAAGGAUAAUAAUUACACUAAGAAACUAGUUACUGAAAGGUUAAAUCAAACUACUUAUGACUUUCCUAAUAUUUAGAAAAUCAUGACAUGUUACUAGACAGUGCACUUGAUCUUCAAAUAUAAAUUAAUCAAUUUUUGAAUUGAUAAUAAAUUAAUUUGUUUGAUUUAUUUAAUUCUAUUUAUUUAGAAUUAUAAUUUAUAUUUGGGUUAACAUAUUAGGAACCUGAUGGGUCACACACAUUACGAAUCAUUAGUCAGAAAUUAAACUAAGAUAAUUAAUUAAGAGUGACUUGAUUGAAAAUAAUUUUAGAAAUUAAGUACUAGAAUGUAUUUAAUUCACAGAUUAUAAUUCUAGUCCUAAAAUAAUCAAGUAGGGAUUUGAUUGAUUAAAUUUCUAAAAUUAUUCUUAAAUAAUAUAUAGAUAUUCUUUAAGGGGCAAAUAGAUUUUUUUUUUCUAUUUAUAGGGUUUUUAGGAUUCUCUAUAAAUAUAAAAGCAUGCCUCUUAUUUUUUAAAAAAGGUUGUUUGUUAGAAAUAAAAACUUCGUAAGUCACAAAAUAAAAAACUACCACUCUAAACAAAGCAAUUCAUCUCUUCUAAAUACAGAUUUAAUAGAUUUCUCAUUAGUAAUUCAUAUGAAUUACUGUUGGAGACUAGACAAUUAGAUAACUUGUGAUUUGUGACAACCUAACCUUUAAAAAAUUAUUCAAUAUUGGAGAAGAUUAUAUCUUCAGAUAAUAAAUCUUUAAACAGCUCUAGAUCUGUCUAACUGGAUCCUAGAGACUUCUAAAUAAUUUUAUUUUAUUAUUUUCACUUCAUGUAUGAUAUUUAGAAAUCCAAAAUAACCUCUUAUAGUUUAAUUAUAUUUUCACUAUCAUGUUAUAUUUACAAAAUUUACACUUUACAUUGUGAAUUAAAAAUAAUUCCAAAAAAAAAAUACUCUAAUAUAUAAUGUACAUUAAACGAACUAAUCGUAGCAACACUCAACACUUUCUCUCUUUCACGCAUCUUUUUCUUCGUUUCUAAAUUCAAAUCACCAAUUCGGUAACAAUUUUUUAUUUUUUUUUGGUGUUGUUGUUAUGAAAAAAUCCACAGAAAAAGUUCAGAAAAUUGUGGAAAAACCAAAAAUAUUUGUUGGUAACAAAAUCAACACUGGGAUUUCUUUAUUGAACCCAUCUGUUCUUGCAAAGAUGCAUUCUUUUUUUCUUUUUUUUUGUUAAUUAUGCAAUUUCCAUUUUGGGUUUUGUACCAGACCCAUUCUAGAGAACUUGUAGUGCUUGAAUGGGGUGUUCUUGAUAUUCUUGUUCAGGAGGAAUUUUAUUGAACACUUAACGGGAAUUAUUAGAAGUGUUUGUGAAGUUUAUAUUCAUGGAAAUAAUAAAAAGAGUGUGUGUGAAUGAAUUGUUUGAAGUGAUUUUGGCAAAAAUGUGCGUUGGAGAUGCAGAUUUGUCAUUGUGAGAGGAAAAUGCUUGUGGUGGUGUACUGGGAAAGUUUAAUUUCAGUCUGGGAAAAGAAAAUGGUGGACAAACCCCUUCAGAUCUUGUUUCUAGGACUAGAUCUUUAUUCCAAAAGCUGAAAUCGUUCAAUCAACCUUAUGAUGAUAGCAGACUGUGAAAGGCUACUGCUAAUCUUUAAAGCUACUGAUAACAAAAAAUUGUACCUGGCAAAAAGCAUGGUGUUCCUGUGAAGUUUUGAUCUUCAUGCCCAACACCCAUAUUCCCUGUGGCUCCUAUAGCCUGUUUCCCACCAUAAAGAACAGAUCCUCUUCUGUUUCCUUGAAUUAUGUCUUUUCCCUUUUCAACCAAUGCAGUUCUGGAUUACUUGAUUCCGCAGAAGCCUCUGCCGGAGGAGUGACGAUGUCAUCAACAUAAAGCUUGUCAAUUGCAACAGAGUUGGGUAUAUUCUUCCCCCCGUACCAAUGGACUGUUUGUGCUUUCACCACUCCCACCAACCAAAAAAAAUUAAAAAUUAAAAAAUAAAUUUGUUAUAUAAUACUAUUAACUUAAAUAAUAUUUUAUUUUUAUUUUUAUUUUUUAAUAGUUCUCUUUUCUUUGGUUUUUUUUUUUCAAUUCAAUAUUUAGUAUUAGCUUUAUUAGGGAUAUGGUUUUAUAUUUUUUUUUAUCAAUUUAGCUUUUAUUAACUUUGUUGAUUCGAAUUUUUUUUUGUAAUUGAUUUUUUUAGUUUUAUUUUUUAGCAUUUAAUUGAUCGAGAAUUAAGUUUUUUAAUUUAUUUCGGUCUGUUUUCUAUGAAAUUAUCAUCAUCUCAUGAUUCGGAUCACAGGCUUGGCGAGUCGUUUUUGUAUGUUCUUUUUAUAUUUUUUUUCAAUUUUAUCUUUUCAACACUGAAUUGAUUGAGAAUUAAGUUUUAUAUUAAUUUUUUUCUAUAUAUUGAAUUCUCUUAGUCUCAUGACAUAAAUAAUGAGUUUAGUUGGUUAAAUUAAGUUGAUUCAGAUCAAUUUUUUUAAUUGAUUUUUUUAAUUUAAUCCUUCACCAUCAAGUUAUUGGAAAUUGAGCUUUAUAAUUUGUUUUGAUUUAUUUUUUGUGAGGCUAUCAUGAUCUCAUGACUUGAUAUGUAGAUUGAUAAAUUAACUCAAGUUGACCCGAAUCGGUCUCAUAUAUUAUUGUCUCAAUUUUUAUUAAAAAAAUUAUCAUCUUAAAUAUUUAUUUUGAUUCAAAAUAUAUUUUACUAGUUAUUUAAAUUAUAUUUAAACCUACUAAAAUAAUUGAAUUAUAUUAAAUUAAUUCUACAAUAAUUAUUUUUUUAAAAAAAAAUUAUCAACUCCAAAAUAAUUAUGUAAACAAAAAAAAAAUCCAACCGCAGUGCAGCAGGUAAUCAUGUAGUGUAUAUCAUAUUUUUAAAGACUUAAAGUGAUGUCUUUAUUUGAAGAACCGGAAGAAUAAAAGGGAGGAGAAGCAGAACUCAAGCUUAAAAGGGCACGAAGAUUUGUGGCGCACGUUAAUAAUAUUAUUUUCUCCUGAUCUUGAUGACUAUUUUUUCUUUUUCAAUAUCUUCAGGUAUAUACUUAGGAACAGGGAUGGAGCAAGAAAAAAAAAUUAAAAAGGUCAAAUUAAAAAAAUUAUUUAAAAAAAUUAAAAUUUUAAUUAUUUUAUACAAAAAAACUAAAAAAAAUUUCUUUACAGGAGCCGGACCUUACCAACCCCCGGCCUCCACCACUACUUGAGAAGCCAUCAAAACAAUAUUGACGAAUGAAUUGUCUUGCGCAUAAAGUGUUCUAUGAAAUACAAGUUUUAGUUUUUUUUUUUUUGGAUAAAGUUAUAAUAUUAAUUUGAUGAUAAAGAUUUAAUAUUAAUAUUGCAAGGACUUUUAGUUAUUAAAAUAAAUAUAAUAGCAAACUUAUAAAUAUUCACAUAUUUUUUUAUAUAUUUUUUAGCGCUUGGGAUUAAGGAUUUAAACUAUUAUUUAAUAUAUAAAUCCCAUAAUAUAAUAUGUAAUUUCAUGAAAUAUAGAGGAUAUAUAAAAACACAAUCAAACUAAUACUUUUUUUUAUAUAUAUAUAAUUAUCCCUAUAUAUAAUAUGAUUUUCGUCAAAGGUGGGGUGCUUGUUACUAUAUAAUACCUAUAUUCUAUGAGAAUAAAUAUUUUUAGGAUGGAGAAUGCCCCCUCCAGCCCUCCUUUGGCUCUGCCUUUAUCUUCCGUUACUAAUAACUAGAUCGUUGCUCAUGCAUCCUUACGGUUACUUAAAGUGAUGCUGUACUUAGAGGUCAAAUUAAUUUUUUUUUUUUUAUGUAAAAUAAAUUUAGAUAUUGUUAAUGUGUUUUUUAAUAUGAGAAAUUAAAUUACAUGGAAAUUAAUUUAAUAUAACUUUGUCAACUUAACAGGUUCAAAAAUGACCAAUAAGAAUUUAGUUUGAUUAACGAAAAAUCAAGACAAUAUUUUUUUUUAAGUGUGUGUGUCUCUGUGUGUGUGUGUAGGGUUGUCAGGGUCUCAAGAUCUGGGUAGAAGAUUUGGUAGCUUAACUCGAGUUGAUCUGAGUCGAUCUAAUAUAUUGUCAUUUCGAUACUUAAACUCAAUUCUUAAUUAAUCCAAUAUUGAAUGUUGAAAUUAAAAAUAAAAUUUCACUAAAAAAUGAGUCGAGUCAACCCGGGAUAACUUGUCAUCCUAAGUCAUGAGACCAGGAUAACCCCAUAAAAAGCAAGUCGAAAUAAAUUAUGAUGAUCAAUUCACAAUUAACUCAAUAUUGAAUGAUGAAAUUAAAAAAAAAAUUCAAUUAAAAAACCACUUAAGCCAAUCGAACAAGCUCAUGAUCGGGGUUAUAAGACCAAGAUAACCUCGUAGAAUGCUGACUGAAAAACAUUAUAAAGCUUAAUUCUCAAUCAACUCAAUAUUGAAAGAUGAAAUUGAAGAAAAAAAAUCAACUAAAAAGGGAAAAAAAUACCCAACUCAACCAGCUUUAUCCGAGUCAACAUGGCUAACCUGUAAAACACGUGACCCAGAUCAUAAGAUCGGGAUAACUUCAUGUAAAACAAAUCAAAAUAAAUUAUGAAGUAUAAUACCCAGUAAAACAAUCAUUUUGGUUCAUGACACAUGUACAUGCAAGAAUUGAACAAUAUUUAAAUUAAAACUAAACUCAACAAACAAUCCUAUUAUCUUUGUUCACAUGACGACCUGUAAGAUUUUUUUAUUUUAAAUUAUAGUAUUUUAAAUUAUAUCCGAAAACUAUAUGAAUUUCAACUUAACGAAAGCAAAAAAUUUCCAAAAAAAAAAUACAAUAUUACAAAUAAACUAAAACAUAUUAAAAUGAAUUACAAGCUCAUAUUUAAUAAAAUAACACAACAUCAAACUCAUAGCAUAUAAACAAGUCUAUUUAUCUAUGUAUAUAUCGUCUACUAAUGGGAUAAGCUCAUCAAUAAUAUAAUUGCCUCUUGUGUUUAGUGGCCUCGUCAUUGGCUACAACAUCAUCAAGAGUUAAUGUCUCUCCAAAGUUCGUAAGUGCAGUGCGAUAAACAGUGAACCAAUAAGAUACCUAAAUGCAUGCUUUAUUUUCUUCAUCAAGAUUACGAAGCAUAUAGGCAGACUCUUGAUUCUCCCAUAACAACAAGUCAACGUAAUGUUCAUAAAAUGCAUACAUUAAAUUUCCAUAAAUAAAACACAUCUUUCAAUAUAUAUUAAUUCUAAAAAGUUAAGAUUACUUACGAUAUUUUAAAUCUAAUGCACAUGUUACUUGUAUUGCAAGUCUUUCAAUGGAGGAACCUGUUCAGGUUUUUAUGUGCCCAAUGUAAUAUAAAGCUUGCAUGGUGAAUUAACUAGAGUCAUAAUCAUCGGUUUUACCCCGACAACUUAUGGUGUGUAGCACAUAACUUGUAUUAAUGUCAACUAGAAUGUGUUAUCUGUAGUCGAACAUCGUAUCACCUGAUUAGGGCAACGUAACUCAGCCAUCUUAAAAAACCAGUGCGACUGCUUUUGUCCAGGUGUCUAUCUUGCUAAUACAAACUGCUGGAGAAACUACUAAUUUAUCAUCUUCAUAUGGAGCCCACAUUACCUACAACACAAAUGUCAAAACAAUAAAGUGACAGUAAUAGGUAAAAGUUAAACUGAAUUACCAAAAAAGUUGUUCAACAUAUACCUGGAAAGGUUGUUGUCUAUCUAUCUCGCUUUGAUAAAAUAACAACAUAUUUGUGGAAUUAUUAUCAAACACCCUAAUUAUAAUAACCCUAAUCAUAUACCACCUAACAUUACAAAUCAUAAGCUUAUUAACAAUUGUUUUAGUCACAUUUACACAAACACAAUAUAGUUGCAUAUAAUUUUGAACAUAACAUUACUUGUAUUAUAAUAGAAGCUUAAGCGUAACCUUCAUAGUCUGUGACUAUCAUAAUUGGCUUAUUCAGAAUCUGGGAAUGACCCAUCUAAAGAUGCUCUCAAGACUAUAGUUAUGUCAAAAAAACCAUUGAGUGAUUUUUUUGAAUUUAUUAUAAAUAUUUUAAAUGAAAAUGAAAAUUUAUUUCAUUCAUACCAAUAAAAAUAGCAUGCAUCCCCCAAUCUAUUUUGCCUCAUUCAUGCAUGCAACACAUAGAUAUUUUUACAGGCAUGCAAAUAUAGCAGAACCCUAGCUAUAUAUGGGAAUCAAAUCAAAAUCCUCAAGAAACAUUGGAUAAAUAAGUGACACAUAUCUCUUGGACAAAUAUGUGAACAUAAUACUGGCAAACAUAUGCAAUAUAUAUGCUCUAACAUACCUAUAAUAGCUUCACAUUAUCAAACAAAGAUUUACAAAUAAUUGACAUAUAAAAAAAUCAUAAUUUAAUGCAUACUUGUACAAGAUCUCAUCAUCAGCAUCCUUUAAUGUUGUGGUGAAUGUUAUUCUAAGUCAUUUAAGGCGUAUUUUAUCCCCCCUAAAUUCAUUAAGAGGGAUGCCAUUCUAAAUACAUGCUCACACAACUCAAUAUGAUCAUGUACCCUUCUAAUAUGAUUUCUCGUCCAUUAAUGAGCAUACCAAGCAUAACUACUACAUUCUAUAAUGUGGGUGUCAUCUCCUCAUUCUUGAGGUGGAACAUAUGUGUCUCAUGUCAUCAUAUCUCAAUAAUGAAUGUAACAAAAUGUGAUCAAGCUUUAUGUGUUCUAGAUAACUAAUGUAUAAGAACCCCACCUAGAAACAUGAAUGAUUUAACCCAGUCAUGUAAUUUCAUCAUCAAUAUAACAUAUCAUAUUCAACAAUUUAAAACAUAAUUACAUUUAAGUUAAACUAAUCACUAUAUAAAAAAUAAAAGUGUUAAUUAAAGUUAUUAAUCAUAUAAUUUGCAAUUUAUACAAGUAAAAUUAGGAGUGAUCAUUUUCGGUUCAGUUCGGUUUUUAUCAAAAAAAGUAACCAAACUGAAUUUUUUUUUUUUGAAAAAAAAAUCGAAACCGAAACCGGGUCAAACCGAUCGGUUUCGGUUCGGUUUUUUUAGGGCAAAAACUGGUUCAAACCGGUUUGGCUCGGUUUUUUCCGGUUUUGGCUCGGUUUUUUUCGGUUUGGCUCGGUUUUGGCUCGUUUUUUUUUCCGGUUUUUUGUUUAUAAAACCGAAACCGAACCGAACCGGCUGGUUUUUUCAAAAAUUUAAUCGGUUUUUUUUUCGGUUCGGUUUUUUUUUUCAAAAAUUUAAUCGGUUUAAUCGAUUUUUUUUUUCGGUUCGGUUUUUUCGGUUAUUUUUUUUCCGGUUUUCUCGGUUUAAUUGGUUUUCUGGUUUUUUUGCUCACCCCUAAGUAAAAUAAACUUACAAUGACAACUAAAACAUCUUAUCUUUGCCUAUCCUACAACCGUGGGAUAAAAGUAUCAAUGAGCUCAAUAGACAUGCAUUGUGACCUUACCUAUCCAAAUGAAAGGUCUAAAUCAGAUGAACCGGACAAGUCAACCUUGGAUUAUAAAUGCCUCUAUGAGAAGACGACCCAUCACCUUGCAUGCGCGAUAUCCUAAGUAAGUGUACCUAUAAGACAUAAUGUAAUAUUAGAUAAUUAAAAUAUUAUACUCGUCGACAAUACUUGAGUUUUCAUCUGGAUAGACAUACUUUUGCUCGAGUUCUAAUGUAAUCACUUCAUUUUAGUUCAUCAUGUAAUGGAUAUAAUGCAAUGCCAUAUGUCGAUCUAUAUCUUCAAACAACCUAAUAACCAUCAAUAAAUUGGGUGUAGUCUAGAUGAUUCUUAGUGCAACAUGUAAGACUAUUUGAACAUAGUCAAUGGAAUAUUUGACAUUUACCAUAUAUGCAAGUUUUAUCCCUCAAUCUAAUUGUUUUCCUAACUUAUUUGACUACACUCGGUUUUAUAGGUGUGUUAACCUAAAAAACUUAACAUUUAACAUCGAACAACAUUGAAGUGUGUCUCUCGAUCUAUCCCUACUAACUGUUAAUUUGACUUAUACCAUUAGAGGCCAUAUUAUUUCAUUUUAAAUGAAAUCAGUUACUUGACCUUACCUCCUAGCCUAAUAACUAUUACACUUAUUGAUUAUCAAUUGAACUAGAGCAAAAACAGGCAUUACAUGAGUACUUUUCAGGACAUGAUUAAAGGCUUCUAAUAGAUUGGUUUCAUAUUGCCAUACCUGUAACCACUUCAUAAAAAAGUUCUUAUUUUUCUUUUGGUUCACGCUCGAACCAUUCUUGAUAUGUUAGGUCUAGCUUGCAUAUUCUCAAGAACCACACAUCAAACUUACAUCUUAAAGGUUUAUAACUCAUCUUCAUCAAAUCUUUAAAUUUGUUAUUGAAGUUGCUGAUGAAAUGUUGAGCAUGAUAGUGAUGAUAUCCUAAAGGUUCUUGCAAUAUUUGUGCCAUUCCAUUAUUAAUCUAUGCAUGUGUAUUUGAUAUUAUAUAGAUGUUAGUUCAUUCAAUUGUAAUGUAUCGCUGCAAACAAAUUAUGAACCAUCUCUAGUUGUAAUUAUUUUUUUUUCAACCACUAUAAAAUCCAAAGGGAAUAUCCUAUUAUCUACAUAAAAAACAACUACAAUCAAUAAUUUUCCAUUAUAUCACUUAUACAGAUGUGUACCAUCAAUACUGUAAGUAACCUAUAACACUUAAGACCUUCAAUUAAAGGUCCAAAUAACCAGAAAAUCUUUUUCAAAAACCAAUGUGCUAUCAUCAAAAUCUCCUUUGAGACCCCACUUAACAAUCAUUCUAGGAUUUGAUUCUUUUGUUGGCAACAACAAUCUUGAAAACAUUUCAAACGACUCCUCAUGUGAACCAAAAAGACGCUCAAGCACCUUCUGUUUUGCAACUCAUGCCUUGUCGUAGUAAAUUUUAUACUUGUAAUGCAAUUUUAGUUUGUUUCACCAUCAUAAAAAGGUUAUUUAUCACAAAUAUUGAAACAACAUUAGCAACAAAAUUUUGCAUGAUAUUAAUGGUGAUUUUUAAGACAAAUAUGGCGGUACAAGUGUGAGGCCUUUUUAACUUUACUAUCUCAAAUGAAUCCAAUCUUUUAUAGUACUCUAUACAUAAAUAUUAUUAACAUUCUAGUGCUUGCACACAUUGUGAUUAAGCAAAUGUGAAGGUUGACCAUUGAACUCGAUAUUAUAGUGAAUGUUCAAUAUAUCAUCGCUUAACUACAUUAACUAAAUCACUUUUACUACUGAAUGUUUAUCCAUCUGCCAAUAUUAGUACAGAGCAUCAUAUGUUAUUUUAAACUUAAUGGAUAUGGAUCACGAUUCAACCUAAUUCAUGUUAUUUUAAUUUUCAAUUGAAUGAAAUCAACCCUAAUUGCAUAAAAUCAUACCUAAUUUAAUACAAUUCAAUCACAACCUCAAUUUCAGCAACUUAGCCAAAACAAUCAACACAAAACAUAAUUGAUCAUAAUUCAACCUAAUUCAUGUUAUUUUUAUGCUCAAUUGCAUGAAAUCAAUCAUAAUUUCAUAAAUUAAUAUCUAUUUCAACGCAAUUCAAUAAAACCUUAAUUUCAAAUAAACCUAAUUUUUAAACUAACCCUAAUUUCAAGCAAACACAAAUUAACUAAGAAAUACACUAAAUUAAUAGAAAUAUAGGUUGUUUACCUUGUGUUUUCAACUGGAGAGUGGUGGUAGUUUGGUAGUCGCACCUUAUGGAGUGGUGGCAGUACUAUGGAAGCGAAUUUGACACUAAAAUUGAUGAGUGGAGGCUUAAAGAUAAGGAGAGUGAUUGUUUGGUGUGUUUUAAGGCUAAGGGCGAUGGUUUCGAUUGAUUUUUUAUUGAGAAAAACAGUGUGGACACGAGUUUUAAGAGAGAGAAAAGGGGAGGGGGGGAAAAGCUAUAAGGAGGAGAAAAAUGAAACCAAGUUAAAUUUCAUAUCUUGUUGCAAUUUAUAAUCGUGACAUUUAAAUUGUAAGUUGUUAUGAUUUAGAAUCGUGAAAUUUUUAUAAGUCAUAAUUGUGAAUCGUCAUGUAUAAACUUUAAUAUUUCACCAAAACUUUUUUAAAUUGUGUUAUUCUACUAUUAUUUUUAAUUUACUUUGCUAAUUUUUUUAAAAAAAAUCUACAAUGUCUUGAUAAGAAGAAACAUCCUAAAAAAUGUCAACUUCCUUUGCCUUAAAGAACACAUCAUUUGAUGGCGCCUACAAUGUCUUGCCAAUGAGAAAUUAAGAUCCCAUUAGCCUCUUAAAAUUUUCUUUAACUUACCUGAGACAGUAACCUUUCCCCAAAGAAAUCUUGUAAAUGUCCACAACACACGCCCACUUUAUUUGAUUGUAACUUGAAUUGCCCCCGUCCUCAGCUCACCCUUUCUCUCAUCUCUCUCAUUCAAAAGAUCUUCUUUGACAAAGUUAUGGCCAAACCGUAUGAGAUGAUAUCCUCUGUUUUUUUAUCAGAUUCCAGUGACUAUUAAUAACAAAGUUAUGGCUACCAUGGCAUCUGCCUUGAGUUCUUAUCACAAUGUUUUGAAUUCCAUAGAGAGAUUUCAUUAGACUAAAAACUAACCAAAUCAUUUAAUUGCACAAAUGGCCAUAACUGCAUAGUCCAUAUUAUACAAAUGAAUCAUGAAUAUAUUACACAAUCAAUCUACCACAACUUUUGAGGGUUUUCUUGAAGCACUGGGAGUCUAUUACCACAACAAAUCUCUUUCUUUCGUUUACCUUCGGAAAGAAAGCCUCUUCAGAAGAAUGUUCAUAACCUGCAUUUAAACUUCUGGGAUUGGAAAAAGACGUUUUACUAGCCACUGAAUUGGUCUAAAUAGCUGGGCUCUAUUCUCGCGCCAGAACCAAAUGGCUGCACUGUAUUGUUCAUUGCGUAUUUUCUUUGUCGCUGCCUUCCAAUCAUACUUCUCCGUAUCUUGACGUGCUGCCUUACCAAUGGUUUCUCUUAGUUCUUGGUUAUCCAACAAAGGCUCUAACUUGCUCAAGCAGUCAUUAAGAUCUCCUGGAUUAAAGAGAAACCCAGUUUUGCCAUCCAGUUCUGGAGGAAUUAUAUCUGGGAUUCCCCCAGCACGAGCACCCACUACAGGAAUUCCUGAAGACAUGGCCUCCAAAACAACAAGACCAAGUGUUUCGGACUCUGAAGGCAUAACGAAAACAUCCCCACUAGCGUAUGCCUGAGAGAGCUCUUCUCCUCCCAACAUCCCAGUAAAUACAGCAGGCAUGCCAGUAAACAUCUUUUCCAACUCCUCCCUGAAAAGAAAGAAACCAUGUUUCCUAAAAUAAGAUGCUUGGAAUUGUCAAAAUAAUCUUUUUACAGGAGUAAAUACGAAUUUCAUUGUCUAAUUGUAAUGGGAAUGUUUAGAUAUGGCUUAAAAGAUCAAUUUGAGAAAUAACUUCAGUGGCAAUUCAGUUCAUAAAAAUCAAAUAUUUGAAGCUGUUAUGGGUCACAAAUCAUCACAAAGUAUUUACUUCCCUUGAACUAAUCUAAGUUUUAAAAUGCAGUACCUGUAUGGCCCAUCUCCAAUAAUGGCAAUUCUUGCUCCUGGAAGCCUAUCCAUAACCCUGUUAAACCAAAUUCAUCAAAUUGCAAAGAUGCAAAAAAUAGUAGUCAUGUAUUAGGAAGAAUAGAGAGAAGAAAUAUGACUCUCUGUGCAAAACGGGGAGAGGGGAGUACUUAAGGAAAGAAAUAAACUACAAGGAAAAAAAGACAGAAAGAAUUAUGAUAGCUUAGUGAAGGAAUUCCAUCUCAAAAUACUGCUAAUAACAAUAAAAUGUACCACAGUCUGGCCACAAAAUCCUUAUUGGAUGCCCUUUAACUUUAAGGAAGAUGUAAUAGGUAGGAUUAAAGGGGGAAAAAGAAAGAAAAUUCUUGUUUAUAGGAAAAUGUCCUUGAGAGCAUCUGAUAGCAAAAGCUUUCAGACACUUUAGUUGACAAUUAACCAGAGUCAAUGAGAUCAAAGCAUACUGAGUCGGCUCUACCAGUGCUUUGAUAUUUGAAUUUUUUAAGAAAUGGUGGGUCUAAAUUUGAAAAAUGUAUUAAGUUUUGCAUCUAGUGAUUUAGGAAAACAAAUUUUCAUUCAUCAAAAAGAAAAUAAAAAAAAAAGUGAGAAAGGAUCAUAUGAUACCUUUUGAGAAAAUCCAAACUCUUCUCGACUCCAAGUCGUCCAACAUGGACUAUCAAUGGUUUUUCAGGUUCACCAUUGCUGUUUAGACCAAAAAUAUAUGAUGCUCUGAUACAUUUGAGAUUCCUUGUCUAAUGAACUGGUUGUCAAGGAUGAGAGGAUGGCCUUACCUUAAUCUCAUUCGCAUUUCAUGAGAGCGGAAACGGGGGUGGAAGCUCUCAGAAUCAACACCCUUAUUCCAAACACGAAUCUUGUUAGCUGUAAACAAGGUAUAACAAUCAAUUUAAAACACAGCUGUAUGGACACAGGAGCAAAAUUUCAUUGAAGAGAUUUCAGGAAUAAAGCGCAUUAUGCACAAAAAUUGACACUGGGAAAAGUUAAAAGCUAAGUAAUCAGGAAUUGGAUGUUUAUGUACACCUGCUGUCACCCUAGCUGCUUCAAGAUCCCUCCCAAUAGCAGCUGAUGGCACUAGUGUGAGAUCGGCUGCUCUGUGAAGAAAUUCUGAUGGAAAGGGAAUACAUGUCAUUAUUGAUAAAGUAAUCAGCAGCCUGCAGAAUUUCCAGAACUAUGAGUACAAAAUGCAUAAUACAUACUUAUGAUCAUCCACAUGGGUUUCACCAGCCAGCUAAACGUGUACCUUGGGAUGUAUCUGCAAAUGAAAAUAAGGAAUUAAACUCGGUAAAUAACCACUUGACACAUCAAGGGAAAUCUGGCAUAAGAAUUUGAAGCAACAGCAUAAACAUGUGUAGCACAAAGCCAGAAAGGCAAACUCACACAGGGACAUGAGUGUGAUAGGACAUCACGAUGGGGACACUCAACAGUUUUGCAAUGGCAAGGGCACCAAAAACCUGCGAUACAAGAUUGUGACUGUCAGCCAUGCUUAUCCAAUAAAUAAUAAAGAUUUGUUUGCUUCAAAGGCAAACCUCACCAUUAUCCCAGGUGACGAUGCAUGUAUUAUGUCAGGCUUAAACCGUGCAACCUCUGAAAUUAUUCUUGGACUAAGUGCUAGAGAAAGGGGCACCUUCUGAUACCAGGGGAAGGGGAAGCUGUAAAGAGGGAAAAGUUUAAGAACCAUAAGGGGAGAGUUAAAAUGUCAAUGCUAUUGAUCAAGUUGGAAUAAUGCCCAAGUUUCUAGAUUAUGCAGCUCAACCAAGAAAAUAAUUAAAGCAAACCAAGAUAGGCAAACAGAAAAUAUAACAAAGAAUUUAGAAGAAAAAAAUGAUGGGAAAUAAUGACUACCAUAACUUGACAAUCAUACAUGUAACCAUAAAAUAACCGUAAGGAUGGUUGCAAUCAGUGUUGUCAAAGGUGAAAGGCACUUAAAGACACCAAGCCUGUAAAAUGCCCAAGGCACUAGACGCAUGCCUAGGCGCCUACCCAAAUGACCCAGGGCAAUAUGCUAUAUAUAUAUUGGAUCAAUAGAAAAUCAAAAGAAAAUAUAAAAUACCAUAACAUAGUCAUAUAAAGUUAUAUUUUUCACCUUUAAAACAAAAGAAGAUAAGUUAAAGUAGUGAGUAACCAAAUAAAUUAAAAGCAAAAUUAAAUAUCAUCAUUAUUCAUUAAUCUUCAAAAACAUCUUCGUCCAUGCUUUCCUCUCCUUCACUUGAAUCCUCCAUUUCAUGAUAUAAUCUAAAUCCUCAUCUCUCAAACCAUACUACACUUGUAUAGAUGUGUUGUUCUCUUACUCCCACUAUUGAAAAAAGAAAGUGUGGCUGGUGUUUCUCUUCUAAUUGUCCUUCAUUGUCUAUUUGUCUCCCACUUCAAUCAUUUUUUUUAAUUUUUUUACCCUAAUCUUUGAUUUUUACAAAAAUAUUCCUAAGUUGUUCCUUGUGUUAAAUUAAAAAAAAAAUUAGACAAAUAGGUCAAAACAUAAAUCAAUUAAAAAAAAAGAAAAAAUCCAACAAAAAAGGAAGAACUUCAAGCAAGCGCUAGCCUUAACGCCUUGCACAAGGCGCUUGCCUAGACGGCGCUUCAUUGAAAUCCAACACCCGAGGCUAAUAAAGGCGUUGGGGCCUCGCCUUGCCUUAAGCGCCUCAACAUCUCUUAACAACACUGGCUGCAACACUAAUCGACACUAAAAUUGUUUAAUGAUCAAUAUUGCAUAACCACAAUUCUGAUGGGCUAAAACAAUAAGCCCCCUUCAACUCGUCAAUAUAUUAGGAUAUGAUAAUGUACAAGCCACAGGCAAAAUGCACACUAGAUAAAGGUUGUUGUAGCAACCUCCGUGAUCCAAUCAGUUUGGCUCCAUAAAAUUCCUGGGGCACUCCUUCAUGUGUUGUCACAACCAUCACCUGCACAUUACUAAGGUAACUUGUUGAUAUUGUGAAGUGAUAGAAUUUUUACCAAAUAAAAAAUAAAAAAAGUUUCAAAAUCGAUGUCUUUGUAGCUUAAACAUGCCAAGCUGAUUAGGCCGGAAAUUACAAGUAGAAAGAUAAUGACAAGCUAUAUCAAAAGCUUUGCCGGUUCAACUCUAAUUUCUUUUGAAUCAUUGUGUUCAGGGGUUUCAAAAAUUUAAAGUACCAUUCCCAACCUAAGUAAAAAUGAAUAUUUGGGAAUUAGGUUUUCUGAUAUAAAAUCAGUGAACAAGCGAUCCAGUCUCUAUUCAUGUUGCUCAAGUUAUUAAGUCACAUCAGUAUGCAUAGACAAUAAAAAACAAAAUAAAACCAUAGUCAUGUAGCACUCAAAUCAAAGUAUUAUAAAUCACCUCAUCCCCCAUUUCGCGUAAAAAUUUGAUGAAAUUCUGGAACCGGUUUUUAUACCCUGACACAUACCUGUAAAACAAAAGGAAAUAGUUGGUAUUCAAAAAGUGCCCAUUAUUCAGUCUCAACUAACAAGCAUAAAUUGAAGAUACCAAAAACAAAACAGAAUCCCCAUUAAUGAAAAAAAAACUAAAUAUAGUGAUAAACCACGUCAAUAUAUGAAACAUUUCUAUGAUGACAUCCUCUCCUCCAGGACAACUAAGCAAAGAAGACUGAACAACUAGGGAACGCAGGCUCACUUACUGAUACAGAAGAGAGAAAAUAGGAGAAAGGAAGGACAAGUCACCGGAGUGCCACCAUGGCUGUGAUGACUACACACAUCACACCAAUGGAAAAAAAAAAAGGCUCAAAGCACAUUGGCUCAUAGAAAGAAAAGAAAAGAAAAGAAAAAAAAGACAUAUUUAGUCAAGCUGUUCAGCCAAAGGCCCAACAAACAAGACCAAACAACCACCUAUCCAAACAAAUUGGUUGGGCCAAAGGCUCUACGUUAAAAAAAAAUUGAAAAGACUGAACAUCAGUCUAGCUGUUCGACUCACAAGAAGCCUUGAUGACAAAUCAAGCCUGAACAACAAAAGAAAAUCUCUCCAGGACAGCUAAGCAAAACUUACUGAAUAGCUACGGAAGGCAAGCUCAAUUACUGAGAGAGGAGAGAGAAAAAGGAGAAAGGAGAAAAGUCACUGAAGCGCUGCUGUGGCUUUGAUGACAACACGCAUCAAACCAAAAAGAAGAUCUCACCAAGACAAAUUCAACGACACCAAAAAACAUCAUCAGAACCAGAGCCAAAACAAGCUCACGUAGCAGGACUUGUUCACAUGUUGGCAUGUAUAAUACAGGUGCCAGCUAAUUUUUCUCUCUUUUCUCCAAUUUAAUCCCUAAUUCUUCUACAACUCUCCACUUCAGUCCCUAAGUUUACUUGACCGGACAGCAUGCAAGGCAGGAAGGGAGUAUUUUUAUGCUCUAGCAUUGUCAGAAUGGUGUUGCACAAUAACAACUACCAGUGUUAUGCAAUGCACGUCUAAUUCCCUGACACACUCAUUGUUAGUGCGGGGCUGCACAAUCGCCUACUAGUGUUACGCCACGCAUACCUAAUUCUUCAUGGCAGUGUUAUUAGGGCAGGACAUACCUUUCUUGUCAAUACACGCCUAACUGUUCUGUUAAUGAUCAGUAUGACGCCUACAUGAACAACUUGUUUUACAGGUUACCUAUGUGGUAAUAAAGGUAAUUAUUUUUCAUAAUUAUCCUAACACGAUAUAUCUACAACUACACUCUCCACAAGAUAAAUUCAUGUGAUUGAGGUACAUAAAUACCUUAGAUCGCAAGGUAACAACAAGUCAUGAUACAAUACCUAACACAACAAUCAUAACACAUACCCUUUUGCAUUCUCGUUCUUCGCUGUAUAUUAUUUUUCUCCUACUUUUAUCAACCUAAGCGUUGAAGGGUCCCUAUUCCAAUAGAGGACUUGUUUGCAGGAGUUCGUAAGCCACAAGCCUAACUAAAAAAAAUUCCGCCAAAACCCGUUGCACUAGUCAUGGAAAGGCCCUACUUCGUCAAUUUGUUACAAGUAGUUAUAUUUACCACCUCCAAUAUUUAGCUUCUACCCUCCCAACUUAGAGUUGGCAAAACAAGUUCUAAAACAAAGGGGUUAACAAUUUAUAUCUUAUACCGUAAAAGUCUUCGGUAAUGAAAAUCUGGAAUGCGUGAUCGAGUAACAUUUAACCAGAAAAGAAGUAGUGACGAUUGCAAUCAGUGACAAAAUGCUCCAUAUGGUGAAAAACGCCAGUCAAGCAAGCACUUCCCAGAAACGAUGAGUUUCUUAGACACUAAAUAACAGAAUAAAAUAUAAAAGGUAGACGACUACUAGGUGACCCGUUAAAGUCCAAGUAUGCAAUUAUAGCUAGUGAGUUUCUAUAGAGCAGAAUACUAUAUGAACUCCACGAUAUGCAUUGAGCUAAAUAAACCACAGGCCACGGGAAGUUACAAAAAUAAAUUCUUCAAAAUCUACAUUUAAAAGUAGAGAUAUCACAAAGCCAACCAAUUACGACAUGUGAAGUAAUUAUAUUCACAAGAAAACAAAAGGCCGUUAAAGAGAAGCCAUAAAACACAGAUGCAUAUGUUUAUCAACCGAGGUAAUGGAACAAUGGAACAAUCACCUAACUAGAUUCAAACUUCACAACAUUGGCAGUUAGCAGAACCUAUGACAUAAUCAUAAAAAUCGCAAUGGCAACUAGAGCUAACUAUUUUUAGUAAUCAAACAGAAUGACUUGAAACCAAAAAAAAAAGCAGAUGUAAACAGGAAAACAAAAUGAAAAUCAUAACGUGAAAUUGUCACAGUCGUUUCAUCAAACACGAAGCAAUCAAAGAAACUCAAAGUCAACGUCAGAUUCGAACAUCAAAAAUUAAUCAAACAAUGCAAGAAACUAGCACUAAGCCCAUGAUUUUUCAAGAAAUUGAAAUCAACAAAGUAGUCAAGACUCACGCAAAUGGAGAAGGCUCAACAAAAAGGGCAAUACGUCUUGGCCUCGAAAUGGUCUCAUAAUCAAGGAAAGGAGGAUUCUCUUCAUCUUCUCCAACCUCACCACGAGUCAUAUUGUUGUCGCUUUUAGCUCUAACAAGAAACACCCUUUAUGUCUUUCACCUUUUUUUAGCCUCCAAAACUCAGUAAAAAUACUUUCUUUGCAAGAAAGACUAGUAGGUUUCGAUUCAAAAGAAGAAACGUUGAAACUUCAAGAGAAACAAGAAGUGGGUACAAGGAAGAAGAGGAGGAUGACGCAGAAGGAGAAGAAGAAUAAGUGGUGGUACAUAAAAAAUGAGGAGAGAGAGUAUGAUUUAUAGAGAGAGAAGUAGAAAGUGUGACGAUGAGGGAGUAAUUUAGCUGGUGGAGUAGCGAGUUGGAUUUUGUAGAUUGAUUAAUACAGUGAAUUAGAGAAGGAAUAAUUUUCAUUCUUGAAAGGAAUCUUGAAGGGGUAUGACUAUGAGGGAAAUAACAAUAGCACAUUAUCAAUGAAUAUUCCCUAUCACAGGAGGGACACUCCCUCGUCAUUGAGGUAUCAAUGGAAGAAUAUGUAAAGGCAUAUGCUUUCAGCUAAUUGAGAACAGAUGCUUAUCUGUGAUGGCUAUGGUUUUUGCCCCUCUUUCUUUGCUAUUAUUGUAGAUUUUUCAUUUCUUGCCCGCCCAAAGAAGGAUAUCUUUUUUAUAUAUUUCUAUUUUUAAGAGAGCGAAGAAGAAAAUGUUUUAUUCCCAAUUUGUUUAUGUGGUCAAAUUAAUAGCUUAACUGUUAAGAUUGUCUGAAAAGAAUAAGAAUCGAAUCUUCUUAGGUUAGGAGACAAUCUCUUUACGAGAUUAAAGGGAGAAUUAACCAAAGGUAGUGAGUUCUUGAAAAGGAUUAGUUCGGUGUGACAAAGGACAAGACUCCUUUGAACUAACAUUUAAAGUUUGAGACUUGCCAUUAGUUUUUUUUUUUAAUGUAAUAUUCACGUGUGUUUAGUAAUUUAAAAGUAAUUUUAAAUUGAAAAUAGAUAAAAAUAAUGAUUUCUCAUGUUUUUCUUUAAUUUUUACUUUAACACAUUAAAAGCAUUCAAGAGCACUUAAAAAUAUAUUAAUUUAACCAUCUAGUAGGUGGUCUAGUGAUAAGAGUUUGGAAUUAAGAGAUUUACUCCCCAUGUGGUCUCAGGUUCGAGCCAUGUGGUUACUAAUAUGGUGACCACUGGAGGCUUACAUGGUCGUUAACUUCAGGACCCGUGGGAUUAGUCGAAGUGCACGCAAGCUGACUCGGAAUAUCCACGUUAAUCAAUGUUCCUAGUAGAAUUUAUUGAAUGUCUCAAAUACAUCAUGUUAAUGUAAAAAAUAUAUCUAAAAAAUCUAUAUUAAAACAUAAACUAUACAAAAAAUACAUAUCACCAUCAAAUAAAAUAAAAAAAACUUGUGUUGUCCGAAAACAUUACAUCACCAUCAUUAUUCAUUCACAUUUAGAACAAAACUACAAACCAUAUUCAGAAUAGAAAUCUUAAAAAACAAGAUUUCACUUUUGUGUUUGUAGUUGUGCCCAAAAUCUAAUUAUAAUCAGAAUGUUUCACUUUCUUUUUGUGUAUACAACCCUACUCUAAUAUAAAGUAAACAUGAUCCUCUACUCUGUUUUUUUUUUAUACUAAUAAUGCAAAAUCUAUAAUAUAUGCAACUAUGUCAUCAUAUUGUUGGACAAGUUUAAAAAUACAAUGUAAAUUGUGUUUUUUUAAAUUUUAAAUGUUUUUUUUUUAAUUUUUAUAUUUUUAAAUCGUUUUAAUGUGUUGGUAUUAAAAAUUAUUUUAAAAAAUAAAAAAUAUUAUUUUAAUAAAUAUCUAAGCAAAAAGUAGAGUAAACGGCACUCACUAUGGUAAUCCCAAAAUAACCCUUAAGAUAUGCAUGAACUACUUGAUUGUCCACUGUGCAUCCAGUUGGAUUUUGUGUGGCCACGUGGAUACAGGAGUAAUAAAUGUCAACACAAAAUUGUUUGUCGUUUUAUUCGACAAAUAUAUGGUUAUUUGGACAGGCAGGGUCAAGGAGUGUACAACGUGAUCAUCCAUUUCGAUUUCAGACAGCUAUUAUGUUUUCAAUAGUUGGCGUUUACAGUACUUUCUCGUGAUUAAAAUAAUGCUUCUUUCACAGCUUGGACAUGAACGUACAAUAUCAUUCCUUUUCUCUCCCUUUUUUACCAAAAAUGUUGUUCAAAUGGAUUUCUCAUGGAGAAAUGUCGAAUAAAGAAGAAAUUUGGAAAGAAAUAUUUGAUUAUAAGUAUAAAUUUUUAUUGUACAAUAAACUAAGUGAAAAUUAUGAUAAAUAAGUUUUUAAUUUUAUUAUAUAGAUAUUUAUAAAAUUAAAAGAUGAAACUUGCCACUUAACUAUAUGUAAUUUAGAAUUUAAUUUGUUAGUAAGAUUAAUUUUAUAUUAAGUUAAUUUCUUUUAACUUUUUUAAUUAAUUUUGAUAUUUAUAAUUAUUGAGAUAAAACUAAAUAAUAGUCAUUCAGUUUGAUUCAAAAUAUAAUUAUCUUAUUAACAUUCAUAUAGUUUUAUUAAAAUGUUUUAAGAUUAUAUAUACAUGUUAUUACAUAUAGAAAAAUGAUAUAAAACAAAACAUAUUUUCUUUCCUUUGUAUUUUCUAUUAAUUUUUUUAGAUGGUUUAGUUGUAUUCUGAAAAGAUGUUGUGUUGUUGUGAUAAAACUAAAUAUAUAAAUAUGUUAUUGGAGAAAUGAUAUAUAAAAAAACAAAUGUUUUUUAUUUAUUUUAUUUAUUUUCUUAUUUUUUUAAACAUUUAAAGAACUUGGUUUUAUCUUAGAGAUGUUCUCUCUAUAUGGAACAAAUAAAUAUCUUAAAAACAAUAUUUUCACACCUCUAAACCAAUUAAUUUUAUUUUUUAUUUGAUUUCAUACCCAACAAAUUACUAAUAAAAACUACCUUUUAACCCAUGCAUAUCUCAAAACAGUUUUAUUUUUUUUUUAUAACUUAGAGUGUCCGGGCUAGCUUACGCGCACCACGACUAAUUCUUGGACCCACUGAACACCCUACAAGCCUAAUAAACAAGUAAAAUACCGCGAAGAUAACACAAAAAGAAUGAGCCGAGAUAUUGAUAAAGAGAAGAAGUCCCUUCUUAAUAUGCCACGAACUCAAGUGCAGUCUCACUUUUUUUUCUUGUGGAGGUGAUUGAUAGGUUUAGUAAUCCAAUGUAAAUAUACCAUUUUAUAAGAAUUUAGAUAGAAUAUAGAUUUCCUAGUGGGGGCUUCGUAACAAGUCGUCUCUUUCAUUUUUAAGAUUAAAAAAGGGAAAGCUGCUCUCUCAUCAUACAUUUUAUUUCACAUCUUUACGUAAUCUCUUGCUUCUGGACAAUGAUCUCUGAACAUUUUAAGUUGAUGUGACCUUUAAGAAAAGAGUCUAUAUACAAUAAAAUAAAAUGUCAAGCACCUUUAAACCAAAAUAAUCUUGUUGUUUUUUUAAAAGUUUUUUUUAAAAUUAAUUUUUUUAGUGUUUUAAAAUUAUUUUAAUAUAUUAAUGUCAAAAAUAAAUUUUUAAAAAUAAAAAAUAUUAUUUUAAUAUAUUUUUAAAUAAAAUUUAAAAACAAAAUCAUUAUUGUAUUUCAAAACUUAUCCGUUGUAAAAGAGCUGUUACCUAUCAAUUUUUAUAUCCAACUUGCAUCAAAAUCUGAGGAUCAUUGUAAAUGCCACUGGAUAUACUCUUAAUGUUAUUUUUGUACUCAACAGGGGAUCAUGCACUAGCUAAUAAUUAAUGUUAAAAAAAAAACCCUAUUAUUAUACUGAUCCAAUAGCUAAAGAGAACUUUAUACAAGUUCAUGACCCAGGUUGAUUUUCUCACUGAUGCGUGUUUAAUUAACUAAUGGAGAUUUGCUGGCGCAAAAGUUUGGAUAAUCUCAUGGGACAUGGUUGGUUUUCCUUGAAAGGAACUUCAAAUUGAGUUUCAGUUUGCUUGUUUCACUCGGGUUAAGUAUUUUCGGUUUAAUUCGGUUUUGAAUUGAAAAAAAUAACAGUUUUGAAUCUUAAAAAAUAACCAAAUUGAAUUUAAUUUGUUUAAUUCAAACUAAAAUCGGUUCAAACUGAAUAGUUUUGAUUUGGUCCGGUCUGGUUCGGUUUAUAUUAUUAAAAAACCAAAAUAACACAUAAAUGAUCUUGCGUUGAAAAUAAUCUUGCAGUUAAUGGCAGCAUCAUCUUUUUUUCCUGAUUUUCACAAAAACCCCACAAAAAAAAUCAUAAAAAUUCAAUAUUUAACCUUAAGACAAACAAAAAAAACACAUAUUAUUGAGCAUGUGGGUUGGCCUUAUCAAUAAUAUUAUUGGUUAUUAUUGAUAAAUCCAAAAACACUGAUGGGUGCUCCACUCGUCUUGGAGUUGCCUGCAGACCUUGAUUAGAUCCAAAGGGUGAGUGGAGCACCCAAUUACUACUGAUGCAAUACCUUCUUCAACAAAACUCUUCACCCUCAUGGUAUGAUUGAUCAGUUUGAUAAAUUAAAAGUUUUCAUGUUACCAGUUGGAUUUCAGGUGAAAAUUGAGGCUAAAAGCAAUGGAAAAAGAAUGGGGGAUGUUUUGUCUUCGAGAUAUGUGCUAGAUAAAAAUAGGAAAAACAAGAGAGAAAGAGAGAGAGAUUGAGAUGCUGGGAGUGAGAGAAAGAUAAAUAGAGUCUGGGGGUAUAUCCUGGGUUUUUUUAACUUUAUUUAGUUUAGUUCGAAUCGGUUCAGUUUGAUUUGGUUUAUUCAAUUUUAGUCUUAUAAAAUUAAACUGAAUUGAAUUUUUUUAAAAAAUUUCUAAUUAGUUUAAUAAAAAAAAUUAUAAUUUAAUUUUUUUAAUUAUAUUUUUCUUGGUUUAAUAAGUUUUUUUUAUCGCAGCUAAUUUACUUGUCCUUGUGUGAUUUGGGGGAAAAGAAUACAAAGGGCUAGCCUGGGAAUUGUUUUUUAAGGGCAAACCUUAAUGUUAUAUCUCAACUAUAGACACUCUUAAUUUUGCCACCAAACAUUUUCUUAUAUCAUUUUUACCCUUAAUUCUUUUAAAAAAAAUCUCAAUCAAGGACUCCAUCUAUUUUUAAACUUUUUUUAAUCCAAAUUGCACUUAAAAAAAUCAUUUUAUAGAAAAUUUAAUGUUUUUAAAUAAAUGAUUUUAAUGGAAAUCCUAAUUGAGGAAUCAAAAUAGUUUAAGGUAAAAUUGAUAUAAAAAAUAGUUUAGGACAAAAUUGAUAUUAAGGAUAUAUUUGAUUUUCAUCUUUUUUAAUAAUUGGAUGUAUUCUCUCACAGAUGUUUCAUAUGAAAUCGUUUUGUUAGGCUGGCAAUCCAUGUGAUUUUGGUUUUCACUAAUUGACAUAAAGUUUGAACUCAAAUUCCUAAUUAUAGUUUUCAGACCCGGCCUGGUUCAAGGUCCAGGUUCCGGAUUUUGAUCGGGUCACCGGAUUGCCCGAGUCAACUUUUUUUUUAAAUCAAAACGACGUUGUUUUAGUAAAAAAAACAAAAGUCAACGAGUUGCAAUCAGGUUUUUGACUGGAUCUUGCCAAGUCACCGGGUCAACCGGGUCACACCGGGUUUUUUCUUUUCCUAUUUUUUCUUCAACUCGGCCCGGUUUCAGCCCCGGGUCGACCCGCCAGGCCGAACCGGGUUUCAAAACUAUAUUUCUAAGGGAACUAUAUAAGUUUGGAUAAGUGAAAUUGUUCAUGGUGUUAAUAGAAUUUUGUUAAAAUAUAAUGGCUUGUUUGAUAUUAUUGUAUUUGUGAUAUGUUGCAUUGUUAAAUGAACGUAACAUUAGUAAAAGUAGUGUCGUAGUUAUAUUUGUAAGAACUUGUACUACGUUAAUUAUAAAAAUGGUGACCUUUACAAUAAACUAUUUUGCUUUUGAUUAAAAUUAAGGUUACCUUCCUUCGUUUUAUAAGCAAACCGAUUUUCUUUUAAAGUAUAACGUGUCUUGGUUUCAAAGUAAUCAAAAUGAAACUUAGACCCAGUUUGGUUACGUGGCUAACCCGUAUUUUUAUAAAAAAAUUAUUUUUUUUAUUUGUAUUAUUAGUUUUUGUGUUUUUAAAUCAUUUUGAUAUUCUGAUAUUAAAAAUAUUUUUUAAAAAAAAUAUCAUUUCAAUGCAUUUUCAAAUAAAAAAUAUUUUGAAAAAUAUUAUUUCCAUAUAUUUUUAACACUAUUUUAAUGUUUUUAAAGCACAAUACUAUCAAUACACUAAGAUUAUCAUGUCUUGAAAUUCGAGCACAUAUCAAUUCUAGUUUUUUUUAAUGGAGAAACCUAUAAAUAUAUCUUACUAUAUUUUGUAGAAUUUUAAGAGAUAGCAAUCUUGUCAUAUGUAUAAAACUUAGAAACUGUACAAAUAUAUACAGGAGAGAAAUUAUGCAGCAAGGAAAGCAUAUCUUGCCUAUAAUUUCUUUUAUGAUCAUUGUCAUGACUAUAUACUAAUAGUAAAGACAAUCAUAUCUAAAUAAGGGAACACAUAAUUUAUUCUAGACAAUGACAUAAUGGUAGAGAUCUUCAGAAUAUCUUUAAUACUCCCUCUCAAGCUGGAUCAAGCGGAUUGGUAGAUUUGAGUUUGCUUAAUAAUCGAUGAAAUUGAGUAGAUGGUAAGACUUUGGUGAGUACAUCAACUAGUUGAUCAUGGGAACAUACAUGCCGAGGUUGGAUGAAUUUAGCUUGAACUUGUUGACGUAAUGACAAUCCACAAUAUGCUUGGUGCGUUCAUGAAACACCGAGUUAGACGCAAUAUGCUUAGUAGCUUGAUUAUCACAAAACAAUUGCAUAGGAGUAACAUGAGGAAAUCCCAAAUCUGCAAGGAAGUUUUUGAGCCAAAACAGUUCACAAACAACAGAGGUCAUAGCAAUUCUGCUUCAGCAUUUGAGCGAGCUACUACAAGUUGUUUUUUUUUCUUUUCCAAGAUACCAAAUUACCACCAACAAACAUUAAAUAUCUUGUGGUAGAUCGACGAUCGAGAGAAUUUCUUGCCCAAUUAGAAUCAAAGUAGCCUAUGAUGUUAGUGUGGCCAUUGCAAGUCAUAACAGUUCCACGGUCAAUUGUCCCUUUGAGAUACUGUAAGAUACAGUUAACCAUACUAAGAUGUUGAAUAGUGGGAGCAUGUAUAUAUUGACUAACAAGGUUGACAACAAAUGUAAUAUCUGGUCGCGUGAUUGUUAAGUAAAUUAGCUUACCAACAAUCUUCUGAUAGUGAUUGUAAGAAGCAAGAGGUUCACUAGAAGAAUCCAAUGUUAAUUUGAUGUCUAAAAGAGUUACAAAAGGCUUAGUAUACAACAUCUUAGCAUCCUGGAAUAGAUUAACAACAUACUUGCGUUGAUUUAGAAAGAGUCCUUUACUGGAAGUUGCCAUUUCAAUGCCUAAAAAAAUACUUCAAAGAGUCAAGAUCUUUAAUAAGGAAUUGUUGUUGAAAAGCUUCUUAAGCUGAGUUAUUGAAUCACCAUUAUUCCUAGUUAUAAUAAGAUCAUCCACACAGAUGAACACAACUAGCUUAAGAGUUGAACCAAGCUGAAUAAACAAGGAAGAAUCUGUAGAGCUUCUUGUAAAACCAAGAACUUUAAGAGCAACACUUUAUUUUACAUGCCAAGCCUGAGGACUUUGCUUUAAGCCAUAAAUAGAUUUAUGAAGUUUGCAAACUAGGUGAGGUCAUAUUAAACAGAGGAGCCAAAUGUGCAUUUAUUUUGUCGCCAUAUAUCAGACAUUUGUGUCACUUUUUGACAUAGUUAAUAUAGUCUAUUUCCAUAAUCAACCAAAAGUAUCUAGAUUGUUGCAUUUGUUUUACCAUUAUAUGCCCAUUAGCAUGAGCUGUAUAGAUUCCCUCAUAUAUUUCUUGUAAUGCUUAUUUAGCUUCUUUUUCAUUCAAAUACCUUAGAAAAGUUCCAUCGAAUAACCUUUUAUACAAGAUUUCACCAUCUAAAUAAUAAUCCAUUGCCAUUUUCCUCAAAGUUUUUGCAUCCAUUUUAGAGACUCUAGGAGGAUCUUCCUGGUGUUGGAUAAACUUUUUAAUGUCACUAUACUAUGGUUUUUCAUCUAUUAUCUCUUCAAGUUAGCAACAAUGAGCUUGAAAAUUUCUAACUUCAAUAUUUAUUGGUUGAAUUCUACUCCCAAUAUUGAUUCGUUUCAUUGAGGCUAUGGUAGCCAAGACAUCAACAAAUUGAUUCUUGUCUCUACCCAUAUGAGUGAAUUUUAUCUCUUCGAACUCACUAGCCAACUUUGAGAGAUAAUCUUGGUAUAGCUUUAAUUUAUCAUUCUUAGCUUACCAUUCUCCUUUUACCUGGUAGAUAAUUAACAUUGAAUCUCUAUAAACAUCAAGCUUUUCAACAUCCAGCUCUAAAGUAAAUUAUAAAUGGAUGAUACAAGCUUCAAAUUCGGUGGUGUUGGUGCAUUCAAACUACAAUCUCAUUAAAACAAGAUACUACUUCUUUUCUAAAGAAAUUUUUACUGCUCUAUCCCCAUUCCCUAAUACGUUCACAACUCCAUCAAAAUACAUGGUCCACCAAUCAUCCAUUCUGCCAUCAUUCUUAACUGCUAACACUUCUUCAUCAGGAAGAUAAAAAUUUAGUGGCCCAUAGUCUUUUACAUAAUUAUUUGCUAAAUGAUCAACAAUUACGCUACCUUUUAUGGCCUUCCUUGUCAUAUAGAUGAUAUCAUAUUCUACCAAUAACACUAGCCUUUUUGCACUCCAAACUAAAGCACGAUCAUUCAAAUUUUUGCUCAAGUAAUAAAUUGUUUGUUCUCUCCUCUCAUAUUGAUUAUACUGGCCUAACACAUACCUUAUAGUUGUUUUCAUCACUGUCAUGUAUAGGAUCAAAGGUCUUCUUGACAUAGGGGAUGUCAUAACCCAAUUCUGGGUUAUUCCCCAAAAAUCAAUUUCUUUUUCAAAAUAAAAAAUAAAAAAAUAAUAAUAAAGGCUGGCAACGUGGAGAAAGCAGACUAGAGAAUCAAGCUGUAAUUUUGGAGGAAAUUUUAAGGUCUAAUUGUACCCUCAUUAUGCCCCAAAAUAGAGAGAAAAUGCAAGUUUAAGGUCAAAUUAAAUGAUUAUUGGAUGAAUUUGCAUAAAUAUUAAGUCCAAGGAUAUAAUUAAAUUUUUAAUAGGUCAAUUUGAUUUAAUCUUGGGCUAAAUUGAAUUUUAAUUAUGUUUAAGAAUUAAUUUGGAUCCAAUUGAAGGAUUUAAUUAAGUGCGAUGACUUAAUUAUACUUUAAAUGGGUCAAAUUAAUUUUAUUUGGGGAUUAAUUGGUGAAACAUUAAGUUUAGGAGCUAAUUUAGGCUUAACUGAGAAGAUUAAAAUUUUAAGAGACCACAUUUAAUUUUUACCAAGUUAAUUGAUUAAAAUUAGGAGCAAAAUUACAAGAAAAUUGAAGUUUUGGGGUCAAUUAGGGGCUAAAUUGAAGAAAUUCAUAGCCAAGGACCAAUCUGCAAAAGGUGUCGGACUAUGGAGGCUCAAUUGACAAAAACCAGGGGUGAAAUUGAAGAAAUUAAAAGUUUAAUGGUCAAUUAGGGGUUAAAUUGCAUAAAUCCGAGAUCAAGGAUUAAAUUGCAAAAGGUGCGUAAAUCCGAGGCUGACGUUGAAGUUCCGCAGGGGCCUAAUUGCAUUAAAUCAAAAGUUUAGGGUCAAUUAAGGGUUCAAUUGAAACCAAUCGAAAGCUGGAAGACUAAAUUGAAAAUCAGCAAAAAUCCCUAAUUCAAUCCAAAACGGCGCCGUUUUGAAUAUAUAUAUAUAAAGAGGACCAGACAACACGUCCUUUUUUUAUUGAUUUGAGGUAGAUCCUCUUCAAUAAGGAGAUCUUUGUCUUUAGAAACUCAAGACAAAUCCCUUAGUAAGGAUGUCUCUACUUUAUCAUGCUAAAACCUAACCAUUUUAAGAUCUAAAUUUUAAUAUUGUAUUUAUUUUUAUUUUGUAUCUUUAACACUUGAGGAUAUACUUUAAAGUGUAAUUUUAUACAUUUAAAUAUUAAAGUCUUCAAUUAGUUUCUAACAUUUAUUUUUGUCAAUUCAUUCAAUUUAAUAUAUGGAAUAUACAUUACAAUGUAAAAUUCACACCCUAUGUAUUAAUUAAACAAAUUAAUUUAUGUGGUGUUUUUGAAAUUUAGGUCAAUUACUAAUGGAUAAUCACAAACUUAUUAUGAUACCCAUUAAUUGAUUUUUAUAUUUUUUAAAGUAGGAUAAAACACAACUUUUUUUUAUAUAUAAAAUAUGCAUGAAAAGUUUUAGAAUUUAGAAGCAUACACACAAAUAAAAACAUAUUUUUAUAUUUUUAAAUAAGAGAUUUGUUUUUUGUAUUUUUCUGAAAUUUUGAAGAAAAACAUAUAUAUUUAAUAUCGGGUCAGUAUUUUAUAGUUAAGUUUACAACCAAAUAUUAAAUGAAUUGGUUGAAAAACAUGCGAGGGACCCAUAAAUAAUUUUAGAAUUUGUGAAAAUCAUUUGAGGUUUGUUUAGCAAAACAAGAAAAAAAAUUCAGCAAAAAAAACUAUCAAAAAUUUGUUAGGACAUGUUUGUCAAACACGUCCUAAGAAUUAAAAAAUGCAUUUUUUUCUUUGUAAAAUUUUGCACAACCAAACACUGCUUUAGGCUCAUAAUGGACUCAGCCUAGCCACGAGAGCUGGGCUUACCAACCUAAAGCCUUAAAGCUCUAAAACAAAGCCCAUACUAAAAAAAAAGAUCAAAUAAGAUUUUUGUUUGAAAUUCUACUAAGAACACGAUGAACAAGAAGAAGAACCUAGAAAUCAAGUUGAAAAUUUCAACCAAAUCUUGUCAAAUAAAAGGCAUAGAAACAUUGAGUAUGGAACAAUGAAACAUAAGGUGCAUCAUGCAAGAAAAACAAACUAAGAAUGACUUAAAAUUAAUUGAACCUGACAUUUAUGAACACAAACUUGGAUAUUCAAAAUUAAAAAGGACGAUUAGUAAAAAUCAAGCUUCUAAUGAACAUAUUGAUGGCAAAGAAUAAUCAUACAUAGAUCCCAAUUUGAAUCUAGGUACAUAAGGCAAGCCAAAACACUGAUUUGUGAGAAAUCAUAAUUUGUAACUUAAGAACAUUCAAAGGAAGAAACCCAAAAAUUCCCAGAAAUUGCCCAAAUCUACCUGAACCUAGAAAAAAAGCAUAAAACUAGAAAAAAAGACUUAAGCAUUGUAACUAUAGCUUAGAGACGUUACACACAACUUACUUGAAAGAAUAGAAACAACAAGAAACUUCAAGAACAACAAUCAAAACCUAUUAUUUACAGCAAGUCAAAAAUGCAUUCUCUUUAAGUAUAAAUAUUUUUUCUAUGAGCAUUCCAUUUGUUUCUAAACUCAAAUAUCAUGCUUGCAACUUCAAACAAACCUAACAAGCUAUUUAAAACAGCCUAAUCAACAACAACAUCAUACUUCAACAUAUUCAUAUCUACAUUAUUGAUUAACUAAACAUUAAAGCAUGCAAAACAACAUUUUAUACAAACAUUUAUCACUCCAUUCUCAUCUCUUAAACAUUAAACGAGACAUCAAACAAACUUGAGCAUGCACAAACUAACUUCUAAGGUAUGAUUAAAUUACUUUAAACUAACAUAUGACUAUAAUGGAUGCAUAAUAAACAUUUUAAACAUGAAUUUUAAAAACAAAAUACAAGGAGAGGGUGUGCUCAUUCAGCUACACCCACCAUUAAAGUUUAAAGGUAUACAUUGUAAAGGAAAUGUUGAUUCCUACUAUGGAUUAUUUGUUUAUUUAUUGUUGAUUUUUAGCUUCUUUUCGAUCUGAGAUUGACCUUGAUUCUCUUCUUUCGUUCUUUCUUAACUUAGUACACAAUUAUUGGAGCUUUUUUUUUAAAUAAGUUUUAGGGUUCCUCCUCUCAAUCUUUUUGAGUUUCCUUUUUUUUCUUCUUCGUGAUUUUCCUAUAAAAAAUCCCUCAUUCACUACUCAAGAGCAGAUGCCCUUUUGUAAGCAAGCUAAUAACAGAAAUUUCAAAACCAUGAUGGUUUUUUCCAAAAGGUUAUUAAGGAAGAUUCUUAUUCUUUCUCUUCCAAAACCUUCCUCUCUUAAAUAGGUGAUGUAUGUUCCCUUUUCAUCCUCUUGUAAACCAAAAUCACAUGAGAGAACACCAUACGAGUCUUUUUUUGUUAUGGUGAAUUAUUCUUCAGUCAUAGAUGAUUGGGUUAGGUACUUUGUCAAUAUCAUUGUGGAGAUUAAGCCAUAAAUGUAUGAUUACCUAAACCUUGUGAGGGGAAUGUAGAUAUAUCAUUAGGAACAAACCAUACUAGAUUUAGAGGUUUAAAACUCCAUAUUCAUUGAUUGGAAAGUGAACUCUUAAUCAGCUUGAAUCUGCUAAUGCAGAGGUGGCUGAUUAGGGACAAGAUGUUAUUGAGUUUAUUGAGCUGAAUGAGGCAUAAAUGUGUGAUGGGGAUAAUUGAUCCUUGUAGACCAGAUGUUUCUAAGUCGAGUGGUGGUGGCCGGAUCCUGUGAGGUGGUCGGAGAUGCUAUGUUCAUUCGCCUGAAUAUGGCAACUCGAUUAGCCUUCUUGGCUGAAGGAGAUGAUAAGAGGGUCAGACAACAUGUCACACAUUUCUUCAUUAAAGUUCGAGUGAUGCGUCGUUCAUUUAAAUUCUAAAAAUUAGGGUUAUUAAAAUAGGAUUUUAGAAAAUUUUCAAUCUAAUCCCAGCCUUUCCAAUUUAAGCGUAUGAAUCCUUAAUUGACCUUAGAACUUCUCAAUUUUGGCAAUUGCACCCUUAGAAACAUUGAUUAAAAUCCUUUAAUUUGACCAUCCUUUUCCAUUUGCUUUUUGGCUACCAGAUUAUACAAUUUCACCCUUAUCAACCAUUAAACUCUUAAAUUCUUUCAAGUAGACCACUGAUUUGAUUAGUUUCAGUCCCUGAACUCACGUGCCUUAUGCAUUUUGAUCCUUAGUUUUGAAGUUCUUCAAUUUGACCCUCAAUAAGCAUUUAAUCUUUAAAUUUCUUUCAAUUGAACCCCUGAUUGCACCAAUUUAGCCUUUCCAAGUUUUAAUUGGGUCCCUAAUCUUCCUAUCUUUGUGAAUUGAUCUGAAUUAGGCCUUAAAACUUGAUUUUUCUUCAAUUGAGUCCUCAAUUGAAUCUAUAAAACCUUUUAGAAGUUAAAUUAAAUCCUUGAACUUAAUUAAUUCUUCCAAUUUUGACCAAAUUGACUUUUAAACUAACUUUUCUUCAAUUAAGUCUUUAAUUUUGGUCAAGUUGGAUUUCAACCUCUACUUUCUUUAUGUUAAGUUUUUAUUCAUCCUAUCAUGUCAAAAUAUCUCAAUCUGAUUAUUUUGGUCUGUUGAAGCUCGAUGACUUAUCUCCUUGUGUCUUAAAAAUAUUUUUGAAUUUUUUUAUUUUUAAAUAAAAAAUAAAAUGUAUUUAAAAUAUUUUUUGAAGGAUCCAAAAUUAGAUUAUGAAAGUUAGAUAGAACGUUUUGCAUUUCACAAAACAUGUCAACUAAUGGUUAUUUGAAAUUAAUUUUUAUUCAACCAUAAUUUGUUUUGAUCAUGUUAAUAUUUCAUUUUAUAUAUUUUUGUAGAAGAAUAAUUUUAAAUAAAGUUUUAAUUUUAAAGUAGACUCCACUUUUUUUAAUUUAAUGUUAAAUAAAAUUAUUCAUUAAUAAGAAGAUAAGGUUUCGAGUCCGAGUAUGUUCACAAAUACACUUCUGAAUCAGUGAGGCGGUUGUAAUUUGAAUUCAGGAUUUCUCCUACUAUGCCAUCCUAAAACAAGGGGUCAAAAUUUUGUUGUCCAAAAAUCUGUAAGCAGCACUUUCAAUUCAACCAAAGCUAUAUGUGUACGAUACCUUAGCCAUUUGCUUUCACGCCUUUGCUGUUUUCUCUUCUGUCUUCAAGAUGGUCGGUUGAUUAAUUGCUCGUCGAAGACUGAGAGAAAUGGGACAUAAAACUGGGACCUUUUAUCUCCCCAGUCAAAAAAAUAAUAAAAAAAUAAAAAAUCACCAGCAAACAGAUCUGUUCAUCAGGAAUUUUCUUCUGUCAAAAUGACAGAGGGAAAGGAAAAGAUGGGUUCCAUAAUGUUCAAGCCAUGCCCACGCUUCCACAUUCAAAUAGAUUCCCUCUUGAAAUGGGGCAUCAUUACUAGAAUUCCUGAUCCUUUUGGAAUCAUGAUGGCCAACAAAAGGCAAAGCAAAGGGCAGGUAGGGCCAUAGGAAGCCUAAAAAGCAACGCUGACGAGAAGAGUAUCAAAUUCUGCCCCUCUUCUGUCCUUGGUUUUCUCUUCUUUUUUACCUCAUUUCACUCACUCUUACCCUGUUGAAGGCUCCACCACCUCCUCUUGCUUUUGACCAAACCUAUUUCUUCUUGGUUGUGUUGAAUUCGUGGAUGCACAGCAAGCCUACUGUUCAUACUUGCUUCAGAAAACGGGUUUUUAAAUUAUUUAGCCUGGCUAGCACAUGGAGACCUUGAAUUAUGUAACGUAGCUGUAAUGGUUUCCUUGACUAUAAGAGCGAAACAUUGAAUUCUUAGUGUUGGCUAUUAAAUAAAAAGUUCAUACAUGCUAAAAUGAGCAUCGUGACGCAAAUACAGAUGAAAUAAUCACACACAACUAGAUCAUAUAAACCAAACCGAUCAUGUUACAGGGAUCACUGAUAAUCAGACAAUUUUGAUUCACAUGGAUCAGAUGCCUACCACUUUCUCCAUAUUUUCAAAAUGAGCGUCCUAAAUAGUAUCUAAUCAUAAGGCAUAAGUCGGGGGGGAGUAUAUUGUCGAUGGGUAUGUACAAUAUGUAGAAUACGGUGAACAUGCCAUGUACAUGUCUCAUGCAUGGCUACACGUAUUCCCUUACGAAGUGGUGAGAAGUUGAACCAAACGGCUGGCUGGCUGGUUACUUAGAAUGUGUUUAUAAUUGUGGUGUAAUUUGGUUUUUAAAAGUAUUUUUUAUUUAAAAAAUAAUUUAUUUAAUUUAUUUUAUAUUUUUAUUUUAUUUUUAAUAUCAUUACAUCAAUAUUAUUAAAAAAACACAAAAAAAUAUUAAUUUAAUGUUUUUUCAUGUUAAAUAUAUUUUUAAAAUACAUCUAAAUAUAGUUUUUAUCCGAUCUCUGUUUGAGAGUGUAGCUCAAAUGAAAGUUUGUAAAAAUUCAAAAAAAUAUUUUUUUAAAAAAUAUUUUUUAUGUUUUUAAAUCACUUUGAUAUAUUAAUAUUUAAAAAAUUAUUUUAAUAUAUUUAUAAAUAAAAAAUACUUUAAAAAAUAACAUAUCAAAUACUCUUUCGUACUCUUUCGUAGGACUCUUAACGAGUAUAAUUUUUCACAAAUUUUCACAAAUACAACUGUCUAUUCCUCCUUUCGAUGAGAAGCCUUAAUCCAAUAUUUGACCUGAUCAGUUUCUUCUUUACCUUCUCUUUAUGUCACAUUAAUUUUCAUCAAUAAAUACCCCCAACAAACUUACCAACUGCCCCUUCUUGUUCACAACUCUCCCUCCCUCCCUCCCUCCCCUCCAUGCACUGUUUCUUUCUCUAUCUCAAAACAAGCAAGGGUGUUUUUCUCAUUGGAACUCUCCACUACUAGUCCAAAAUGUCACGCAAAGCAAGCAAGCGAUUAAGUUUCAGUCCUGAUGAAAAUGAUAAGCCAACAAUCUUUCUUAAACAUGGAAGUGGAACAAGGGUAGGUGGAAACAGGAAGAAGAUUGCUGGAAUUUUCUCUUUUAGGCUUCCUAGAACCUCAAAAUUUUCACCAGCAAGACUACUAAGGCGCCUCGGAGCUAAGGUAGCAAGAGUUCUACGUUUUGUGUCCAUGGGAAGGAAAUCUUCACGUAAGGUUACUUCAUCAAGUUUGCCAAGAUCAAGAUCACUUGCUGAGGCAGUAGACUCUCAACGAGCUGAAGCUAUUGAAGAUUGCAUUGAGUUCCUAAAUUCUUCAUCCUCUUUGCAGAGGUCAAACUCAGUUUCUACAAAUUCUUAUUAGACUCUGCUGUCAAGAGAAAAAUAUGUAUAUGAAAUGAACAAAAAGUUCAUAUUAUUUCAUUGAUCAUUAGUAGUUUCUUAGUUUCUAAUAGAGAAGUAGGCAAAUACAAGAGGAAUCGGUACAAAUAGCAACAGCCACUGAUAUGUUUAUGCAUAGAGUUCGAGUAUCAAGAAUCUUUUGCAUAUAUACGGGGUCACGUCUUGAGUCUAAUUCUCUCACGGCAUAGGAUACACCUUUGAAGCCGAACAAGACAAUAAGUUUCAUGUAAGACACUUCGACAGCAUACAACUAAUGGAAACAUGACCAUUCCAAGGGUGGGCCAACCUAGAGGGUCGAGCCUAUCUAGCACUAAAAGGCUGAAUCACUAUCAUGGCACUUACUGAUCAAAUAUCCCAUGUGGAUUCACUUUUUUCAUUGUUUUCUUACGAAUAAAUUUAAAUUAGCCAGCUAGCUCAAUACACUCUAUCACAGUGCUUGAGUCAUGGACGCACAGUGCAGACAAUGCUUUCAAUAAUGGGAACGGUUCAAUAAUUUUCCCGUAAUCAUGUCCACGCAUUGUUCUUGACACUAAUUUGUCUGAACAUUAUCCGCAGAGAAUUUGAUAGAAAAAAGUAGCACUAUGAGAGAGAGCACUUACCACUAAUCAUUGAAUGUCCAGUAAGAGCACGCUAGCUAGUAAAAAGAAAACUAACAAUUCCAGAUUCGUUUCCUCAUGUGCAAGGAAUAGCAUGAAAUGAUACAUUUAACAAUUGACUGAGAGCUUUCGAAAGUUCUCAGAUGCAAUAACUUGAAAUUUUAUAAUUUCAAAAGCUCUCUUACAGGGAAGGGCAAUUUGGGAUCAUAUGGAAUCCAAGCUCCAAAAGUGCUGAUUCCUUGGCACUUUCUGUUGGUGAUUAAACUUGUUUCUUGAAAACCAAGAGCAUUAAAGUCAGUUUUAAUAAACUGACAUGAAAGUCAAUUUAAUGAGUGAAAUAUUCAUUUAAAAUCUUUCAAGUUUGUAAAAGUCUAUAUAUAUAUAUAUAUAUAUAUAUAUAUAUAUAUAUAUAUAUAUAUAUAUAUAUGAAAUUGUCAUAAUAAAAGGUGUGAGAGUACUAAUUUUUAGUGUCUUGUAUUCCAAAAAAAAGUAAAAAAUGUGAUGUGAAAGCUUCUUAUGAGUGUUAUACAAUUCCUCCUCCUCUUCUAAGUGAUAUUUUCUAACAAAUUUGAGCUUGAGAGUAAUCAUGGUUUCUAGUAAUAACAGUACUCAAAUUCAUAUUCCUCAUCUUACAAAAGAAACUUAUGAUUUAUGAUGUAUUCAGUACAAGGCAUCGUUGAGAUCACAAAAAUUAUAGGAGUUAGUUAAAGAUGAUUAUAAUGAACCAGAAUCAACAAGAGAAUAGGAAGCAAUGAGCAAUACAAAAAAAACAAGAUUUGAGAGAAUCAAGAAAGAAGAAUAAUAAAGCUCUAUUCACCUUUUAUCAAGGGCUUGAUGAAGCAACUCUUGAGAUGAUGGCACUUGCAAAGAUUUCAAAGGAAACAUAAUUCUUAAUAAGACUUAUACUGAAGUUGAAAGGUUAGAAAGGGUACGAUUGCAAACAUUGAGAGAAGAUUUUUAGAACCUAAAUAAAGAAAGUAAUGAAACAAUUUCAUAUUACUUCACAAAAGUAAUCUCUUUAGUACAUCAAAUGAGAAUGAAUGGUGAAAAUAUUGAUGAUGUUCGUGUGAUGGAGAAGAUCUUGAGGUCUUUGGAUUUAUGUGGUAGUAACAAUUGAAGAAUUAAAGGAUUUUGAAGAUUUGACAAUAGAAGAACUUAAAGGAUCUUUUCAAGCUCAUAAACAGAAAAUUGAUAAAAGAGAAGGAAGAUCUCUUGAGAAAGUAUUACAUAAAAAUUUAACUAUAAAGAAUGUUGCUAGAUCUAGUAGAGGAUCAUUUCAAAUAAGAAGAUUCUUCUACAGAAUAGAAAGAGGAGGAAGAUCAUCCAGAAAUCAAUAAACUUAAGGAAUAAGAAAUCAAAGUUUCAACUUCAGAAGAUGUGGUAGAAGAAGAGGGAGAAGUCGCGGUGGAUAUUAAAAUUAAAGGAAUAAUAAUGCAAAUGUUCAAUGUUAUAAUUGUAAGGAGUAUGAUCAUUUCGCUUCAGAUUGUUCACAAUAUAAAUUUGAAGAUAAAAGUGUUAACUUUGCCGAGAAGGGACCUGAUUCUGAAGACUUGCUUUGCUGUUGGCUUGUGGAAAAUUUGAUGGUAGUAACUCCAACACAUGGUAUUUAGAUAUAGGAGCAUCUAAUUAUAUGUGUGGAAUGAAGGAAGUAUUUUUUUAUCUAGAUGAGAAUUAUACAGACAAUAUUGCUUUGGAGAUCUUUCACAAAGACUUGUUGAAGGAAGAGGCAGAAUUCUAAUUGAGCUUAAGAAUGGUAAGCAAAAGUUCAUUUCAAAAGUGUUUUACGUUCCAGAUAUGAAGAGCGAUAUUCUAAGUUUGGGACAAUUUCUGGAGAAAGGUUUUGCAGUGCAGAUGAAAGAUAAGAAUCUGAUAAUUUUUUAUGAAUCUAGAGUUGUAAUUGCUUCUGUAAGAAUGACAAAGAAUAAAAUGUUUCCUCUAGAUUUGAAUAAAUAUCAGUCAAACUAUUUUAAGGCAGAAACAAUCAAUAUGUCAAAUCUUCGACAUUUGCGUUAUGGUCAUUUAAAUUAUGGAUCAUUUAUAUUAUUAGAGAAGAACUAAAUGGUUCUUGAAAUACUAAAGAUAGAUCACACAAAUAGAAUGUUUGAAGUUUAUGUAAUGGAAAAUCAUAACACAAAGCCAUUUCUAAGAAGAAGUUUAAAAGCAUCUCAGCCUCUUGAUCUAGUGUAUUCAAACAUGUGUGGCCCUACCAAACCUAUUUUAAUUGGUGGUAAAAGGUACUUUCUUACUUUCAGAGAUGAUUUUAGUGGUAAGACAUGAAUGUAUGUAUUAAAAUAAAAGAAGAAAGUGUUAAACAAAUUUAAAGAGUUCAAAAACUUAGUAGAAAAUCAAAGUGAAUGCAAACUGAAGUGUUUAAGAAUAGAUAAGGGUAGAAAGUAUAUUUUACAUGAUUUUGAUGUUUAUUGUAAAGAAAAUGGUAUUAUGCAUUAGCUUACUAUGCCUCAAACCCUACAACAUAAUGAGGUGUCUAAAAGGAAGAAUGGAAGCAUUAUGAAUAUGGUUAGAUGUAUGUUGAAAAAAAAAAUUGUCUAAAAGAAUUUUUGGAGAUGUAAUAAUGUGCGUUAUGCAUAUAUUAAAUAGGUUUCCUAUAAAGAGACUUUAGAAUAUUACACCAGAAGAAGUAUGGAGUUUGAAGAAACCAAGAGUUAAGCAUUUGAGAAUUUUUUGCGGUAUUUCAUAUGCCAAAAUCUAAGAAGAAAAAAGAGCCAACCUUGAAGAUAAAAGCCAAAAAUAUAUAUUGCUGGGAUAUGGAGAAAAUUUGUAUGGUUACAAAUUGUAUAAUCCAAUAACCAAGAAGGUUAUUAUGUCAACAGAUGUGAAGUUUGAUGAAGAGAAACUAUGCGAUUGGAAUAUUGAAAAUCAACCAUGGAGACUAACAGUAGAAGAAGAACAAGUUCAAAAUGACAAAAAAGAAAUCUAGUCUGCACCAUCUCCGCUUACUUAGGUUGAUACUCUUGCUAGUCUUUAAAGUCUAGCUUUAAAAAACACAAAGGGCAUAUAAGAAAUAUAUGAUGUAACAAAAGGAAGCAACCUUGAUGAUGUUAGUAUGUUUUGCUUCUUUUCAAGUAAUGAUCCUGUUACCUUUAAAGAAUCUUACCAAUAAGCUAAAAGGAAUAAGGUAAUGAAGGAGAAAAUCAAUUCUAUCAAAAAGAAAAAUAUAUGGGAGUUGACAACACUUCUAGAAAGAUACAAUACAAUAGAAGUGAAAUGGAUCUUCAAAACUAAAAGGAAUGAAGUGAAAUGGAUCUUCAAAACUAAAAGGAAUGCAAAAGGAGAAGUUGAGAAAUAUAAAGCCAAAUUACUAGCAAAUGGCUGUAAGCAAUAAUAUGGAGUUGACUAUAAAUAUUUUUUUUUCUCCAGUUGCAAGGAUAGGAAUAGUAAGAUUGAUGAUUUUUUUGAUAGCUAAAAAAAAAUAGAAGUUGUAUCCGAUGAAUGUCAAAUCAGCCUUUCUAAAUGGCACCUUUGAAGAGGAAGUAUACGUAGACCAACCACCUAGUUUUGUGGUUAAAAAAUAAGAAAAGGUUUAUAGAUUAAAGAAAUCUCUUUAUAGGCUUAAAGAAGCACCAAGAGCAUGAAAUUCCAUAAUUGAUGGCUAUCUUACAAAGAAUGAAUUUGUUAGAUUUCCUUAUGAACAUUCCUUAUAUGUGAAAAUAAACUUACAAGGCAAAGUGAUGUUUGUUUACUUGUAUAUUGAUGAUCUAAGUUUUACACGUGACGAUUUCAUUAUGAUUCAGGAUUUCAAACAAUCUAUGGUGAAGGAAUUUGAAAUGAUAGACUUAGGUCUCAUGACUUAUUUUCUAGGAAUAAAAGUGAAGUGGUGUAGUAAUGAAAUUUUUAUUUCACAAAUCAAGUAUGCAGCAGAGGUGUUGAAGAAGUUUGCUAUGGAAGACUAUCAACUUAUAGAUAAUCCAGUCGAGCAUAGAAUCAAAUUAACUAAAGAAAGGGAAUGAGAUUUAGUGAAUCCAACAUACUAUAAGAGUAUUACGGGAUGUUUGCGAUAUUUAACAUGUGCCAGGCUAUAUAUUUUAUUUGGAGUUGGUUUGAUUAGGUGGUAUAUAGAAAGACCAAGAAGCUCACAUCUAAAGGCAACAAAGAGGAUUUUGUGUUUUGUUAAAGGAUCAUUAAGCUAUAGUUUAUUUUACUCAUUUUCACAAAAUCUUAAGAUCACAAGUUACAAUGAUAGUGAUUGGGUUGGAAAUCUUGAAGAUAGGAAGAACACAACUGGUUUUGUGUUUUAUAUGGAAAAUGCAACCUUUACAUGGUCAUCCAAAAAACAAUCAAUUGUUGCUUUGUCAACAUGUCAAGCAGAAUACAUUGUUGCAACCUCUUGUGUAUGUCAUGCAAUAUGGUUAAGAAAGCUAUUAGAAGAUUUACAAUAAAAGCAGAAUGAAGCUACCAAAAUUUUUAUUGUUAACAAGUCUGCUAUUGCUUUAGCAAAAGAUCCAGUUCAUCAUGAAUGUUCAAAGUAUAUUGAUACAUGUUUUUAUUUUAUAAGGGAGCAUGUAAAAGAAGAAGAUGUGAAGUUGGUUCAUUUCAGAACUUAUGAACAAGUUGUUGAUAUUGUUACAAAACCAUUAAAGACAAAUAUGUUUUAUUACUUACAGAAGAAGCUUGGAGUUAUAAAGAUGAAUAAAACAAGUUUAAGAGGGGAGAAUGUCGGUGAUUAAACUUCUUUGUUAAAAACCAAGAACAUUAAAGUCAGUAUGAAUUAGUGUUAGUUUAAUUAGUCAAAUUUUCAUUUAAAAUCUUUGAAGUUUGUAAGCUUGGAGUUAUAAAGAUGAGUGAAACAAGUUUAAAAGGGGAGAAUGUCAGUGAUUAAACUUGUUUGUUAGAAACAAAGUACAUUAAGUCAGUAUUAAAAUAAAGUGACAUGAAAGUCAGUAAUGUUAUGGAAUUAAUGUUUGUUUAAUUAGUCAAAUUUUCAUUUAAAAUCUUUGAAUUUUGUUAAAGACAUUCUUAAAUGUCUAUAUAUAUAUAUAUAUAUAUAUAUAUAUAUGGAAUUCUUAUAAUAAAAAGUGUGAGAAUACUAAUAUUUAAUGCCUUGUAUUCCACUAAAAAUAUGUGUCUGUUAACGAAAGCUUCUUAUGAGUGUUAUAUAAUUCAUCUGAGUGAUAUUUGCCAACACUUUUGGCACCAAAUAUGGUCAGCUAGCAUCAUACCUAAUGAGGUCCCUAUGAGCUAAAAAUGAGAUAAAUAACUUAAUUGGUCCAUUAAAUGAUCAUUACUGCAAUCAUUUUUGCUAAAAUUACGAUCUAAUAGAGAAAAGGAGAAAUUGAUAAGUCACCAAUUGAGCUAGUAAUUCGCCUACUAUUGCCCAAUAUUUUUUGCCAAUGGGUCGAAGAAUAGAGGCUAAGGUAAAUAAGAAUUUUUAGCUGAAAAUUGCAAAAGGUUUGAGCAAAUUAAUUCUUUCAUUCUUCCAAAUAAAUGACAUGUGUACGUUUUGAAAAAAUAAGAUAAAUAACUUGAUCGAAAUGAUCAUUACUGUAAUUUUUUUGCUACAACUACGAUCUAAUGGAGAAAAGAGGAACUUGACAAGUCACUAGUUGAACUAGUAAUUCGCCUACUGUUACCCAAUACUCUUUACCAAUGGGUUGAAGAAUAGAAGCUAAGGUAAAUAAGAAUUUUUAGCUGAAAAUUGAAAAAGGUUUAAGCAAAUUAAUUCUUUCAUUCUUCCAAAUAAACAACAUGCUUAUUUUUUUUAUUUUUUAGAUGAAUAGAUAGCAUUCCCUAGAACUAACAAUGAAAGAAACUUUUUAUGGUAAGACAAAUUAAUAGGAGAGUAGGGACAACCUGCACUUUCUAUGCAAAGCUAGAUUAACAUUCCAGUACGACCCAAGACAAUAUGUAUGGUGGUAAAACUUGUGCAUGUUAUGUUUUCAAGUCUUCAAGUCCUGCCUUUAUAUUAGCCUAUGAAAACAACUUUUUAGUUGUAUUAGCCAUGGUUUCGACAUCAUCUAAACUAUUAAUAUGGCUUUGCAUAUGUACUACAUGGACCCAAGAUAGAUUAGCUCCUUUGCAUAUGUACUUUGACCCUCUAAAACCAUUGAAAAAUUGGUGUAAAGAGAAUAGCCCUAACAUGCUUGCCCAAAGUAUACAACCAUGGUAGAGGAUUGAGAUUGAUCGAAGGAAACUAAUGGCAAUGAUCAUUCAAAUAAGAAAGGUUCUAGUAGUUUCAUCAUUUUCUAUAAAUAAGAGGCAAAACAAGAAAUAAAGGGAACCAAACUAGAGAAAGAAAAAUGCCAAGAAAAAAGAGAGAAAAAAAAGAGUUCUGAGUUGAGAAAAGUGUGGGUUUGAUCUAGAAAGAAAUAUACGAGAAAGAAGAAGAAAGAGAGAAAGAAAAGGAACCCCGAAUGUAAAGAAAAGCCUAAAGAGUGAGUGUGGGUUUUUGAGCUAAAAACAUAUGUGUUCUAAGCCAGCUAAUAUUAAAGGGGUGAAGAAGAAUAAGAGUGAAAUAAAAUGAAAGAAAAAAAAGGAAAGAAAAAAAAACCAAAGAGAGAAAGAAAGCCAAAGGUAAAGAGACAAAACCACUUUAAAACCCUAGCACCUCCAGCAAGUUACGGUCUACACCACCAGUAACCACCACUUCAAAUCCUCCCAUAUUUGGAACUACCCCUAAGUUAAGCCCGAGUCUUCUUCCCUCUCUUAUCUUUUUUCAUGAAAGUUUUGCAUUCAAGUUUAGUAUUCAAAUUAAAAAAUAACGAACAUGUUAUUGUUCAUACAUGAACACUAUUCAUUCAUGCAUUUUUAUUGUUAUUUUAUUAGCUUCGCGUUAAUGUUAUCAUCAUUUUGUAAAAUUACACAUUUUUCUUUUUAUGUAUGUAUCUGUGUGUAAAUAUUCAUUUUAAAAAAGGAACAAAAAUUAUCUCAACGAGUUUUUCAUCAACUUAGUGUCAUGUUUUUUUGCUGACCUUUGUUUUUAAUGGUUAGGUAGAUAUGUCUCCUAGUUUGUAGGGAACGAUGUGGGCUAACGUGAUGUUUUUAACAUUGAAAUGAUUUUAAUAAUGAGUUGCAAAUUUUUUUAAGCUAGAGACAUUUUGAAAACUUGAAUUUCAUUGGUUAUGUCAACAUAUAUCCUAUUUUUAAGGAUCAAUGUAGGCAUAAUGUGAUAUUCUUAAAUAAAAAAUAAGUCCAUGAAUCUCCUUUAAGUAGGUAGUGAUAUGGGAUAAGCAUAGUUUUCUUUUCAAAAAAAUUUUCAAAAUUUUUUUGUAAGAAAAUAAAUAAAUAAUGAUAAAAAUGUUAAGAAAUAUUUAUAAAUAAAACUAAAAAAUUAUCAAGUUGGGAGACUCUUGAUUCAGGGCCUAAUGCUAACUUGAUGAACAUCCACCAACAAUAAAUAAUUUAUGAAUAAGCUCAUAAGAUAAUUUAGACAUGUGAUGAAAUAGUAAACUAAAUUUCAGAGAAAACACAUGGAAAAGAUAACCUUUCUUUGAAAUAAUAUAGUAAGGGUGAUGUAUAUCUUUCCUUAAACAUAAGUAACCCCUUACUUGAAUUUUUGAAACCAAUUUAUAUUUUAGAAUUCUUUUCUUAAAGAACUAAGUAGGGACUUUAUUUUCCAUGUCUUCCUUUAAUUUUUUAAUUUUUUUUUUCAUGUUGAGUGUGACAGAAUGACGACCUCAUUGGGAAUGUUAGGAUUAGGUCUAUAUAUAUAUAUAUAUAUAUAUAUAUAUAUAUAUGUGUGUGUGUGUGUGUGUGUGUCUUUUAAUGCCUUCAUUGUCAUUUAUUUUUAAGCAUUUAUUUUAUUUAUUUUGUUUAAUUUUAUUCAUUUAUUUAUGUUGUUUGUUGUUGUGUUUAUUUAAUCUACUGAAUUGAACGUACAUGCAUAUUAUUUUUCAAAUUUUCAUACACUUCACAAAAACCUAAUAAAGACUCUAGACCCAAGUUCAUCCCUUUUAGAAUUAGAUAGGGAAAUUUAAGUGCUGAAUGUGAUUUAUAUCUAUCAAUGUCACUUAAACUUCUACUUAGAUUGGAACUCAUCAUAUACAUUUGGGUAUUAUGAAGUUAUUCCUUAACUCAUGUUGUAUAAUUUGGAUAAUCUAGGAACCUAAAAAAUCUUUAGGGAUAGACCAGCUGAGCCAAACCUUUAUAUGAGCUAGAUUAUAUUCGCUAAGGUUGACUCUCGAUAGGACAUGAAUUAUAUCAUGAUAAAUCACAUUCAUUAGUGCUUAGAGUGGUAUUACCAUUUCUCCACUGACCCUUAUAAAAAAUGUAAGAUGUUCGGACAUAUUAAGAUUACCACUGAAAAUAUGGAGAUUAGGUCAAAAAGACAAGUAUGAUAAGGGAGAUUUCUUAUCGAUGAUGUUUAAAUCUAGAUUACUAGACUGAGUGAAGCUCAAAGACAUGAUGCCUAAUAUCAGUCAACUAUUGGAUUGUUAGGAGAUGUUAUCUCUACAAGACCAGAUUAACUUCAAAAAAAGUAUGGAGAUAUAGCUUAACUACUCAAGAUUCGACUAUAACCCUCAUAUUUCUAGGUUAUGAUAAGGUUAUGGGACCUAAAAUACAAAUUUCUUACUUUUGAUAUUGUAGACAUGACUCAUAUUCUCGAGGAGUAUAAUUAUCUUUUGGGUUGUCCAAAAUUAUACUUGGUGUAAUUGUAUACGCUAAGAGAACAAGCUCCAUCAAAUUAUGCCUAGUUGACCAAAGCAGACCAUAUGACAAUGGAAGAGCAUAUAACCAAGCAAGGUUUCAAUCAAGGUUGGUUAUAAAACAUAUUGAAACCCAUAUUUAAAAUGAGAUUCCAAGAUAAAGAAAAUGAAACUAAUUUGAAGAAUUUAACUUUAGGCAUUUAGGGUUUAAUCAUUUUCUCGUUAAUAGAAGAAGUGAUUGACUUUAAGGCUACCAAUAUAUUCAAAAGUGAGGUCUCCUUUAAGAUUAAUCUAGUAGCAGCAGUAUUAGUCGAGACCUUUUCAUCUUUUAAUUGUUAUAGAAAAAAAAAAGGGCCACUUGAGAUGUUGAUGGUAGUUAUCUAUUUAGACAAUGAGCCUUAUGGUAGAUAAGAAUAUAUCAGGUUUAUUUGGAACACCAUGUCAUUUAUGUUUAAUGUUAGAAAAUUUAUUGAGCACAUACUAAAAGAGUAGGGAAAGACUACGUAGGAGCUGAUGGUUUUAAGCUUGUGAAAAUCUUCAUUUCAUUGGAUGAUAUAAUAUGUUUAUUUUCAAUCUUAUCUUACAUGCUAUGGUGAUUACUCAUAGGUCCUGUUGGUGGGCGCUCAAUAUUGCAUUAGUUAUUUCCCUAACAUGGUCAUAUGAUAGUUACGAUUUGAGCAAUUCAUUUUGAGAACCACUUGUUUAGCUUAGUUUUUAUAAAGAAUUUAAAGUUUUGAUUAACUUACUAGAAUUAGUAAAACAAGCUUAGAAGCACCCUAGAAUGGUCAUUACUACUAGAAGAGUCGAUGGUAAGGUUACUCUUGGGCAUCUAAUGUGGAAACAAAUAAAAGAAAAUGGGUACUAAAUUCCAUCUUUUGAGGGUCCAAAGAGAUUGAUGGCUUAGACCAUGAAAGAUAUUUAGAAGGAGAUCCAAGCAUAAUAAGAGUCUUACAAUCCUGGUUUAAACUCAAAUUUAAGGGGGAUGGGUGCCAAAGAAUAAAAUUAUUGGCCAAUUUUACAACUCAAGCAUGUGAUUUUCAUCAUGGAAAGAGAAAUAGAUGACAACAAUAUGCUUUUAAGGAAUUUCAAGCAUAAUUAAAAAGGAUAUUAUAAGUUUAAAGGGAGCAAGACCACAGGGUAAAAGAAAUGGUACAUACAACAUUGGUAAUUAACUAGAAAGCUUAAAAAAAAGAAAAGGUUAGAAAUCAAGCUAAAAAAUGCCCAAAAUGAGGUUAAAGGAUUGGAGAAAACAAAAAAGAUGCUUCAAGAACAAUGUCACUAGCAAUCAGAGUUGAUCACAUAGUUGGAUGACCAUCUAUGAGAGUUAGUUAGCUAGAGGAUGAAUUUAUCUCAACAAGGCAAACUCUGACAGAUAAGAGAGAUGAUGCAAAAAAAGAAAGCACACCAUUGCGCUUCCAAAACUAUACAUUAUCACAUUCAAUCUAAAGAUGCCAAGAAUUAUGUCAUAAGAUUGAAGGGCAUAUUUAGCAGAGGAUUAAUGAGCUUUAAGAGAUAAACUCAUAUACUACUUUGGUUAGAUUCAAGAUUGCAUCAAUAAAGUCAUACCAUAUCUCGGUUUAAAAGUAUAGAAGGAAUGAAUGAAGUAGCUUUGUUUAGGACAAUAGUUUUUAGAACAAAGUUGUAUUAUACAAGCUUUGUAAAUUAUUAUUUUGGAUUAAUAAAAAGAUGUUUUAACACAUUUUCUAAACAUCGAAUGAUUUGCUUGGUAUCUGAUGAUUAGUUUAUGCUUAAAUAAGUUCAUGUGAUAAAAAUCAUCGGUGAUAACUUGUUGGAAAAUUCUCUCCUGAGUUAGAGUUAGGAAAUAUAAGAGAUAGGGUUUUAAGUAUAAUUAGAGGAUUCAAUAAGAGAUAGUAGCCAUCUUUUAUAUAUAUAUAUGUGUGUGUGUGUGUGUGUGUGUGUGAUAUCUCACAUCGGAAGCGAGCGUCCAGAGCCAGGACCUUAUUAGUGGUGUUGGUUGCUAACAUGUUGUACGCGUUUUGGGGCUAUGCGUGACUGUCAAGAACAAAACAGUGAGGGGGACCUGGGUAGAAGCCCUAGAAAUGGGUGGACUAGGAGGCCUAAAGCGGACAAUAUACAGCCUGUUGGGUCAGGCUGUUACAUUUGGUAUCAGAGUCGAGGACGGCUCGUUUUAAGAUGGGGGGAUUGUGAUAUCCCACAUCGGAGCAAGCGUCCAGAGCCAGGGCAUUAGUGGUGUUGGUUGCUAACAUGUUGUACGCGUUUUGGGGCCAUGCGUGGCUGCCAAGAACAAAACCGUGAGGGGGACCUGGGUAGAAGCCCUGGAAAUGGGUGGACUUGGGGGGCCUAAAGCGGACAAUAUACAGCAUGUUGGGCCAGGCUGUUACAAUAUAUAUAUAUAUAUAUAUAUAUAUAUAUAUAUAGUUGUAUACAAUAACAAACAUACAAUGCACUACACAUAAUCAUAAUUCUAUACAAGGUAAAAAUAUAAAUAUAAAGGAAAUUCCAAAAUCCCAUAAUACGCCUCCUUAAGCUAAAGGUGAGGACUCCACACAAAGCUAUGACCGUAAAUAGGCAAAGAAAGCAUGAGGAAAAGGUUUUUUUUAAAAAAACAUCACGUAAUUGAUCUUAAUAAGAGAUAAACCAAACUUGAAUCUCUUUUUUAGCAACUUUAUCAUAAAUAAAAUGAUAGUCAACCUCACUAUGCUCAGUAUAAGAAUGAAAAAUAGGAUUCAUAGAUAGAUAUAUAACACUCAAAUUAUCACACUAUAAUGUAGUCAUGGGAGUAAAAGCAAGCUAAAGUUCUGAAAACAAAGAACGAGUCCAUAAAAGUUUAGUAUAUCAUCAGCUAAAGCCUUGUAUUCGAUUUCCAUCAAAGAGCGAGCAAUUGUUCUUUAUUUCCUAGACUUCCACGAUAUAGGUGUAUUGUCGAGAUACACAAGAUAGUUUUAGUGGAAUUUUGAUCACCAACACCGCCACCCUAAUUGGUAUUAGUGAAACCAUGUAAAGAAAAUGAAUAUCCACGAGUGAUGUGUAAACCAUAGGAGGUUGUAGCCUUUCAAUAAUUCAUGAUGCGUUUGACCCUAGCUUAAUGAGCAUCAAAAUGAGCAUGUAUAAACUGACAUGCCUUACAUAUAACAUAAGAGAUAUAAGGUUUGGUAAAUAUGAGAUAUUAAAGAGAACCCAUGAUAUGUCUAUAACGUGUAUGAUUAGAGUAUAGAGCAAUGAACAUCAUGACCAGCUUAGAAGAAGAGGAUAUAUAUGUCAAUAUGUUUACAAGAAGAUAUAUAUGCUUUGUGAAGGAUAUCAAAAGUAUACUUGUGUUAUAUGAGCAUGAGUCCUAUAAAGGUAGGUUUAACUUCAAUUCCUAAGAAGUAAUGUAUAAAACCUAAGUCUUGCAACUUAAACUCUGAGCUUAAUAAAUCAAUCAAAUGUUUGAGCAUAACUAAAGUGCUUCAGGUAAGCAAAAAAUCACCAGUAUACACAUGUAAGCAAAAAUAUAUCAUCUCCUACAAAUAAAGUGAAAAGAAAGGUAUCCAUUUUAGAAGUAUGAAAGCCAAUAAAGAGAAGAUAAUCACUUAAAUGAUUGAACCUUACCCAAGAAGCUUGUUUCAACCCAUACAGAGACUUAUAAAAGUGACAUAUAUGAAAGGAAAUAGUAGGAUGAAUAAAACCAAAUGGUUGUUUCAUAUACACCUCUUCUUAAAGUAUCUCAUUCAAGAAAACAUUAUGAUCAUCAAGCUGAUUAAUCAAAUAACCGUGAGAUACGACAAUGUAAGAACUAAUCAUAUAGUAACAGGCUUAACUGUAGGACUAAAGGUUCCUAAAUAAUUAAUUCCCUACUAUAGAGUAAGCCCUCUAGAAACUAAACAAGAUUUGCAUCUCUUAAUGCUACCAUCAUCUCACCUCUUAAUCUUAUACACCCAAUGACUAUUAAUAACAUUCAUAGAAGAAUGAAGGAAACUAGAGUCCAUGUACCGUUUGAGUGCAGAACAUUAAUCCUCUCUUGCAUGGCAUGAUGCCAUGAUGAAUAUUUAGCAUCGUCCUAAAAGGUCAUUGAUUCAUAUUCAUGAGGAGAAGUGAUCCAUGAGACUCAAGAGAGAGUUAUACAAAGAUUAACAAUCUUGGUUUUUUUAGGCAAAUGACCAUGGAAUGCUACCAUAGGAUUUGAAUUAGAGAUAUUGGGUUAACAUUUGUAACCUAUUUACGAGAACAUUUAGAGAUAUUAACCACCAUAUUUAACCUAGAAGGUGAUAAUUGUGAAGGAAAACUUAAAGUUAAGCUAGACCGUGCAAGAGGUGAUGAAACAUGUGAAACUUGAUGACAUAAAGAAAUAGAGUUUGUAAUUUGAGAAAUAGAAACUAUACUUGGGCAGUGAACAAUAAAGGUAGAACCAUGUAGAGGUAGAUUAUCAUGAUAUUGUUUAUUGAAAUGGAUCGAGGAGAGGGAGUAUGUGUAGAGAAUGGUUUAGGAUAUUGAGAUGGAAAAAAUGUCAAAUAUGGUAGAGAUUUACUUAUGGAUAAUGUAGGUAAUGAUACUAUCUAUUAAGAAUUCUCAAAUAGGAACAUAUUUUCAUGAAAUCUAAAAUGUCGAGAAAUGUAUAUUCAUUUUAAGGACAAAUCAAGGCAUCAAUAACCCAAGAAACAUACAAGAAAUAGAUAAAAAAAUCUAACUUAUGAGCAUUAUAUGGAUGAAAGAAUAGAAAACAUAUACACUUGAAAGUACGAAGAAAACUAUAACCCGUGAAAGACUGAAAAAGGGUUUCAAAUGGUAUGUUAUAAUUUUCAACACAACAAUUAGCAUACGAUUAAUUAGAUAAAUAGAUGUUUCAAAUGCAUAACUCUAAAAUUCUAAGGUGUUUUUCAUUAAACAAGAAGUGAGAUUAGUUUUCACAAUAUAUCGAUAGUGACUUUUAACAGUGUUAUUUUGUUCAUAAGUGUUGUUACUCAAUUUUGGACCCCGCGUGCUGGAGAUGGUGUAUACCCGUUUUGAACCGAGUGUAGGAGUGUAGCUCAUGUUUGCUGGAAAAUUGACAAAAACGGAGGAGAAAAAAAUAUUUUUUUUGAACCCUGUUUGAGUUGUUUUCUACUCUUUUUAUCCUCCCCCUUUCCUGCCAAAAUCAUCAGGUUUCUUAGACUGACUAGGGGUCUUUAUAAUGCUAAAUUUUUUCCUUCGUUAUCUUGUUUUUAAGGUUGGAUAGAUCCCUCAGAAUUUGCACUAAAAAAAACUGAUUCUGCUGCUGUUGCAAUUUGAAAUGCUUGAUUUUGAUAUUAGAAGCUCAAGAUAUUCAUGUUUGAAAUCUAGCGUGAAAACAUAGAAUCCUGUCGCGAUAAGGUUUCCAGCUGAGUUUGGUUGUAAUUCUGUUAUUCAAAAUGAAUUUAUCUCAUUUUUUAUCCUUUAUGAAAGUUGUAGCUCUACAAGUGUAGAUUAAUUUAGGACUUUUGAAUUACUUGAUUUCGAUAUCAAAAGUUCAUAAUAUUCCUGUUUGAAUAUCUAACGUGAAAGUAGAGAAUUCUGCCGCGAGAAGGAUCCUGACCCGAGUUUUGCACUAAAAACUCUAUUUUCAUCACAAAUUUUAUUGAUUUGUUCUUAGGUCAUACUCUCAGUCAUAUCGGGAUUCUCGGCAUUGUCAGUUUCUGAAUUAGAUCAGGAGACCCUUGUUAAUCAACCAGAUUACUGCCAGAUUCUGUUCUCUAAAACGAUUUUAUCUCACUUUGACUCCUUCAUCAAAGUUUUAGUCCUGGAUGCGUAGAUAAAUUUGGGCUUUUGAAUCGCUUGAUUUCGAUAUCAGAAGCUCAAGAUAUUCCCGUUUGAAUAUCUAGUGUGAAAGUAGGGAUUCCUGCUGCGAGAAGAAGUUUUGCCCGAGUUUGCAGGGACACAAUUGCAAAAUGCUUAAAGUUUGAAGAUCAAUUGUAGGCCAAUUUGAAGCCCUUUUUUGGACCAGGGACCAAAUGGAAAAGGUGCUAAAAUAAAGAAGUUGAGUGAAGAUAAAAUUAGAAAGAAAUUUUGCCGGAUGAAGAAAUUGAAGAGCAGAGAUUUGAUCAGAAAAGGAAAAUAGGGGAGUUGAUCACGUUUUGCUCUCAUUUUUACGACGUCGUACUACCUUUUGUUUUGACACAAACUGCACAGCCCCUUCAGGAAGAUAUAAUUAAUAUAACACUGUCCAUUGUCAUUUUGAGAACAACCCCCCCGGUCUGAUUUCUUUCCUGCAUAAACCUUCCUGGCUGAGUUAUUUCCUUUUUUUCUCUGUAAUUUCCUGCUGGUUUCCAUGUUUCUCUCGUUGGAUUGGAGAGCUGCAGACCACGUUUUUAUUGCCUCAUUUCAAAGGAAACAGUUGGUGCCUCAUGGUCCUAGCUAUGAAAGGAAAGAAAGGAGCCGCACCAUCCAUUAAAAUAUCGGAAAGAAAUCAUAUAUGAUCACAGAAUCAGAAUCAAAAUAUUUUGGUUUCCUAUUUCUGCUCACCCAAGAUUACACCCUAGAGUUAAUGUAAUAUUUGUUUCCUAAAUAGAGCUACAUUUUAGGUUAUAUAAGCCUCCUCUACUGGGGAAGUGGAGGGACGAAAAAAAAAAGAGAAAAAGAAAGGAGAGAACAGAGAAAAACAAGAAAAGAAAGACAAGAAGAAACGAGAGAGAGGCAGGGCAGAGAAAGCCAUAAGAACGACACUGUCGAAAGCAAGGAAAACACAGAGGCAAGGGCGCCAACUCCACCAGCACAACACGCCUUCAUCGCCAUCAUCUUCGUCAUCUCGAGAGAAAGCAUCAGCAGAAGGAGAGAAAAUGAACAAAGACCAAAACCAGCAUGGCCAUCGCUUUCGCUGUCCCCAGAAGCAGCAACCAUUGGCUGAGCGCAGAAGCUUCAGCACCUAUCGUCUUCGUCCGUCUCAGCGCUAGCUUUCAAGAAAAGGAAAGCAGAACAGAGAAGAAGGGAAAGAGAAGAGAAGAAAACAAUGAGAAGAAAGGAGAAAGAGGCAAGCAACACAGGAGAACGCCAGACGAACGCAGACAAUAGAGGACUGAAAAAAAGGGCAUCGCCAGCAGACCAGGUAAGCUGUAAUUCACUUGUUACUGUUCAAGUGAAAUUUAAUUCACUUGUUACUGUUCAAGUGAAAUUUAAUUCACUUGAACAGUAACUGGGGCAAGGCAUGUGUAUUUAUUUUUAUUUUUUUGUGUUUUUUGUAUUGUAAAAAUAGAAAUCUCGUAUUUAGAAUACCCGGUUUUCAACGCAAUGUGACAAAUAUACAUAUAUAUCAAAAAAAUGUUUUCUUGUGUGUUGCAUACGGCCAAUACCCUAUCAUGUUUUGAACACAUUUUUUUUAUACAAAAAAUAUUGGAAGUUUCGAAAAUGUGUUUUCGCAUGGAUUUCUUAAACACAACAAAAAUUAUUUUCUUGCAUUUCUGGAUUUUACAACACGUUUGUAAAACUCCAAAGGGUAUUGGCCAAUAUUCCAAAAAAUAAAAAAUCUUAUUUUGGGGGGAAUUCAUAUAUUAUUCACCGUUAAUGUUUGGAUAAAGAAAUCCUAAAAGGAUUAAUAUCCAAAAUAUUUAAUGGGAAUAACUUGUUAUUAUUCACUGUUAAUAUUUGGAUAAAGAAACCCUAAGUGGUAAAUAUCCAAAAUAAUUUUCUAGGGAUAAUAAGUCAUCACACAUCCUUGAAAGAAGCCUUGAUUAUAAUCGAGGACAUUUCAAUUUUUUUACUCCACGGUUUACGAGCCGUGAGAGUUUAAAACACUAAGACAAAAAUAGGCUUUUAAAGCGCCCUAGAUUUCUAAAUUUUUGUCCCUCCUCCUUGCGAUUUACGAGUCGCAAACUCUUGAAAUACUAAGGAAAAAAUGAGCUUUUAAAGCACAUGGAAUCUCCUUGGAUUUCUAUCUUAAUAAAUUUAGUUGGAAUCAAACCUAGAAAAACUGAUGGGAUUAGAAAACACCAAUGCCAUAGCAAAUAUAAAGCAAACCAAACACCAAGCAGCUUAUCUUAGGUAGGGCAUACUAGGGGUGUUAAUACCUUUCCUUUACACAACCAGUCCCUUGCCUUAGAAUCUCUGAAAGACUAGUUAGGGUUCCUAGUGACCAAAAUACUAGGUGGCAACUCCCUUAUUCAAAAAAAAUGAAAACAAAAACUCCUAAAUCAAUCAAGGAUCGUCACGACGCCGUGCUCCGCCGCGAUCGUCACAACGUCGUGCUCCGCCGCGAGGGUGCGACAAUAAGUAUGAGGACAAAUUAUUCAAUGUUGAAUACCAACGGUUUUAAAAUAUGUAUUUAAUUUUAUAUAUUCACCACCUAAUUUUGUUUGAAUAGAUUUAAUUUUUAUAAAUAAUUUUCAUUUAAUAUGAGCUUGGAAGUUUGAAAUACAAUAAAGACAUCAGAUUUUGCAACCAAAGAAAAAAACCAUAUUUACUUAGUGUAAGCAUCCUAAAAAUCAUAAAAUAACAAAAACCAUCAAAUGAGAACAUAGUGGAAGGUCUCGAAACAUCACUAAAUAUCAGUUCAAGAGGAGCAAAAGUUUUGUAACUUGUAGGUCUUAAGGCCAAACACGAUGAUUUUCAUAAAAGACAUGUUGGAUAAUUAAAAUUAAAAAAAAUUGACGUGCAAGACACUUUUUUAUUAGACACUAAAGACUCAAAAUUCAUAAACUAGGAUACUCAAGCUGACAAUGUCUAAUAUCGUGAGAGGUAAACACACAUGUUGAUAAGAAGGCUUGAGGAAAAGAUAUUAUAAAAAACUCGAAGAUAACAUAAAAGUCAUCCUUACUCUAACUAGGAAACUGCACCUUCUUAGUUAUUAGAACCUUGACAUAGAACAUAUAGCUGUAUUGUCUUGAAAUUUGACAAGAAAGCAAAAGCUUUUUAAAGUCCUUCAUAUGUUGUACGAUGUCUUACAAUCAACCAAACUUCAAUUGAUAAGAAGAAGAUGAGAGCGCUCAUAAUUAAUUGAUCUUGUUGUUUUUAUUAUAGAAAAGAGAGGUUAGUCAUUAGAUUUGUUCUUUUGGUGAUAAUAAUAUGUGAGGAAGAGCAUAAGUAAAAACCAUCAAUGAAAGUAUACACGCCUUAACCCAAUAAGUACAACUUCAUUUACAUUCUUCAAUAUAAAAAAUUAUUAUUGAUCAACUUUAAAAAUAUAACUUGAUGGGCAUUAUAGAGGGGGAUCACAAUAGAAAGAUUAGGAGAAGUCAUGAUUUGAUUAUGAUUAGGAUCCAUAAAUAAUAAUGCUAAGAUUGUGCUCUAAUACCAAGUUAGGAACUAUAAGAGAUAUGGUUUUCUAAGUAUAAUAAGAGGCUUCAACAAGUGAUAACAGUCAUCCUCUUAUAUACAUAUGCAAUAAAAAUUUGCUAGAAAGAAAUAUAGGUCACCUGGUGAAAGCUCAACUUCCUUUAGAAUCCACAACACUAGAUUUAAGUGGAGAAAUAUGGGAAAUAAAGAAAGAUCACAACUAGAACAAAGCAACCAAAUGGAGAUAGAAGUCUAAAAGAAUAUGUUAAGCUCAUUAGCCUUAUUAAGCAAGCACUAUUAGCCAUACCAUUAGAGGAAGGGACCUACAACUAAAAGCAAACUCAGAUAGAAUUGCCACAAUACCCUAAUAUCCACUCAAUGUCAUAAAUGAUGUCAAGGCAAUAUGCUUUUGCCUACCAAACUAAGGGGUAUUAAGCACUUCUCUUGAGUUCUAAUUCAUAAUAUAUUUUUCAUAUGUAAGUACGCCACAAGUAUUGUAAGCAUAGGUUACUCCAAUUAUUGACCUUACCAUUGAAAAAACCUAGAGGGUCAAGAUGGCAAAAAAGCUUGACUCUAAAAAUUUAUCUGCAACAAAAUAAAAUUAGCUUUGAGUAAUAGAAGCUCUAGACUUUUAUAACCUAGUAAAGGCAAUUGAAAUAUGUCUUGUGCUCAACAUCGUAAUACCUAAGACAUCUAAUGUGCAUGAGUUUAUAAAUGUAGUGGAACAUAGUAUCCCAUUAUGCAUUUAUGGGUAUAUUGCAACAAAAUGGAUGAGGUAGUUCAUAACAAGAAGCUUAUAAUCUACUUUUUUCUAUGAGAGUUUAAGUGGUACAGUGCUAAGUUGAUAUAUACAUCAAGAUAAUACCAAGAUCAAGAGGUAGAGGGAUUUGAUAAAUGCCUUUUAUAAAGUAGUAUAAGUUCAAUAUAGAUGUGGCUCCAAACUACUUUAAUUUGUAAAACAUGAAAAAAAAGCUUAAAAAUCCAUUAGAGAGUACGCCCAAAGAUUACGCAAAGUGGUUGCACAGACCCAUCCUCCACUAAUUGAAAAGGAAAAGAUAACACACUUCUUAAAUACAUUUUAAGCUUCGUACUUUGAAUAUUUGGUAGGUGGUUUGACGUGGUAUUUUAUAGAUAUUGUUAUUGUGGUUGAUAAAAUUGAGUAGGCAGUAAGGGUAGGACAAAUCUCAGACCCUUCUGAAAUUAACAAAAAAAAAAGGUUUGGAAGUAAAGAAAAGACAACAAGGUGCACCAGGUGGAAACCAAUCACUUUUAAACUAAAGGUUAUUGAAAUAAUCAAUAUAGGUCCAACCAAUAAGUUAAUACCAGUAACAUUUAUCUUUAACCAUUCACUUAAACAUCAUCAAACACUAUAUCCAUCACCAAUCUAAACUCAUCUUCAUAAUUUUUUUACUUACUAACCAAACAAUUUCUUAUAAAAUCAACCAUUGUUUAACUAAUCAACAUUAGACAACCAAGUUCACCCAAACAGCGUAACAAAAAAAGACAUUACCACCUCUUUUUUUAUGAGAUAAAUGUUCAGAAAGCUCAUUAGCAUUGGAUAAAUUACUAUUACCCCACACCACCUUACCCUUACUAUUGCAAAUGUAAAACCCAAAAAAAAAUAUAAAGAGGAAUGAGAUACAUGUUUUAAAAGUAAAAGAAAUUAAAUGAAAAGAAGGUAUUAAAUAGUCAAAAGGAAAGAUUAAGAAGAGACUAGAUUUCAAAUAAGAAACAAGUGGGGUCAAAGUGAAAAUACAUGAAAUUGUAACAAUAGAUAUCCCUUUUUUUUCUUAAAGGUGGCCGAUAGCUUUGAAAAGAAAGAAAAGAGUGAAGGUUUUCUUGAAACUUCUUCAAAUUUUCUUAUAAUUCCUUAGAAAAUUACAUGAAAAGGGUUGGCUUAUGAUGAUUAAUAGAGGUCAAAGUAAUUGAGUUGUUUAAGAGAGUUCUAUGAGUUUAAGAGUGAGAACAAUGGUUAAAGAGGGAAUGAAGAAAGAGAAGGAUAAAGGGUUGAUUUCCAUCUUACAUUUCUUUUGAAUCUUUGUCAUUUCAAUGUAAGCAUUGCUUAUAUUGUGCUUAAUUUUGAUAAUUCCAUGAAUGAGAGCUUGAAUGAUGUUAUGUAUAAUUAUGGAAUUUUAAACUUGAGAAAUUUGUUGAUUUAAAUUGUAAUGUUAUGCUAAAAUCUUGUUUAUAAGCAUAAAAAAAUUAUUGGGUCAAGUGUUAAUUGAAUGGGUUGAUGAUGAAAACAACAUGAUAUUUUCUCUAGGGCUUUUGGCUAAGGAGUGAAUGAUUUAAAUUGAUGUUAAAGCAUGUUCAAAUGUAUGAAAUGGGAGUGGGUGACGAGUAAAAAAACAGAGAGGAUUUUUGGCAUAGGGAUAAAAAAAAAAAGAAUUGGUAGUUAUGGUUAAUUCCUACAAGUAAAUAAAAUUUUGAAUUCAUUAAGAAUAUUUGAAUAUAGCUUGAAUUGGUGAAAAGAUUUGAUCGUUUGACAAGAAUAUGAGAAUUGUGACUUCUUUAAGUAUAAGAUGUGGAUUGAAUGGAAAUUUAAAAUGAAACUCUUAUGAUGAGAAUAUUAAGUUUAAAAUGAUUUUUUUAUUAUGAUGAUAUAGGAGAGGUUGUAGUAGCGACACAACAUUCAAAUCUAGUUAUAUGACAAUAGACUUCAUAUGGGUGUUUAACACCUUUAUAGUUAAAGAAUUUACUAUAAGUUAAUAUGGACUGCAAUUUUCUUUAAAUGCAAGAUUUAGUUAAAAUAUGUGGAAUUGAGUUAUGAAACCAAUGUAUUGGCUUCUGAAUAGGAAUGCCAGAAUAAUUGGCAACCAUAAGAAUUAUCUAGAUUGAUUGGUAUCCAGUUAGGAUUACCGGAUUGAAUGGCUUCCGAGUAGGAAUGCUAGAAUGAUUAACAACCAUGAGGGUUAGCCGAAUUAUUUAGUAUCCAGUUGAGAUUACUGGAUUGAAUGACUUUCGAAUGGGAAUGUUGAAAGGAUUGGCAACCAUGAGGAUUAGUCAGAUUGUUUGGUAUCCAACUAAGAUUAACGAAUUUAGUGGCUUCCAAAUAAAAAUGCUAGAGUGAUAGAUCAUUGAGGGUCUUAUGGGACUUUUAUUCAAUCAAUAAGAAUGGGAUUGAAGUUGAAGGAAAGUUGCAUAAAAUAAUGUAGUUCAUGAGGAGUUUUAAAGUAAUUUAUAAUAAUAAAGAUUUUCGGUAAUGAAAUAUUGAUCUUUAUUUCAGGUUAUUUACUGGAUCGUUAUGAGGGAAUUUCAGUCAUUAUUCUUUUGUUGUAGUUGAAAGGUGGGAAUUUCUACUAAUUAUGUGCAGUUAAGCUUUUGUAUUGUAAACUCUUGUAUACAUUUUCUGUUAUGUAGCUAAAAUAUGUAAGUUUCAAAUAUUACAUUAGUAAUGGUAUGUAAAGAAGAAACUCACUUUAAAUGUUAUAUAAAUAAUUUUCAAUUAGUUCAAUGCAUCUCAUUUAUUAAUUUAUGCUAUUUGUAUUUGUUGUUAACAUGAAAUCAAUGAAAAAUGAGAGAUGAUAUAAGGAUAGGUGAAUGAAUGAGUUAGGGCUUAUUCAAGUUGAGUAUUGGUCCAAAAUGAUUGGAUCGAUUUUAUGUUAAUUUAUAUAUGUUUGUUGUAAAUAUAUGAUUAAUCUUAAAAUAAAACUAAUAUUUAAUAUACUGCACAAACUGGGGGACUAUUUAGGAUUACCAAAUGUUCGAUUGACUGAUUGAUAUGAGAAGCAAUAAAAUUGACUAUUGUUUAAUUCAAUCGAUCAAACUAGUUAACUGUUUGUUCGACCAUUAAAGGCACUGGUGAAAUUUAGUAGCAUCUGGUUAACUGAUUGGUUAUGUCAAUAUGAAUCAGUUGAUCAUUCUAACUGAUAGUGAACUAUUACUAGAAAAAAAAAUACCCUGGUAUUGCAUUAACCAUAACUUAGCAUGAUGUAAGGAAUCAAUUUAAAAAUUAGAGAUGUUACAACAAACCUAACCACAAAUAUGAAUCUCAUACUAGUGACAUUGAGCAUAACAUUGAUAAUUGUAAUACCUUUAAAUGCAAGCUCCUUCAUCUUAUUAAGGCAAGUUAGAUAAUAUUUUAUGGGAUUUUAUAUACCUAAAUUUAAACACAAACCCCUUGCUAAACCAUAUUAUUACAAGGAAGAGAGGUGUAAGCAUGAUGUCCACUAACUUUAGGUACGAUAGAAAAUGAACCACCUUGAAAAUAACAAUGAGUAAUUUGUUUGAAAUGUUAUCCCAAAUACAUUACCAAAGGGUACCCUCCAAAACAUAAGUUGUUUGGAAUCCUAAUAAGUACUGUAAGUCUUAUCAUGAGUCAGGGAACAAUAUCGAUAACUAUGAUGAAUUUCAUCAUGAUGUUGAGACCAUGAUGAUCCUAAGUAUGCUAUGAUUAAUAAUAACGAGGUUGAGAAAAAGGUUAGAAGGCUAUCUUUCCAAUGAGUAAAUGUUAACAAAGUGAAGGUAUAUAGGUACCAGCCAAAUAAGAAUGGUCCUCCAAGAAUGAUUCUUUCUAUACCAACCUACACAAUCACUAGUAACUAUCAUGAUUUGCCUUAUAAUUAUGAGUACAUCUAUCAUAAUAAAGAGCCAUACACUAUCAUACAGACUAAGAUUGGGAGUUUGAUAACAAGUGGAAUGUUUUUUACUUUAGGAGAGUUAGAAAGGCAAAUAAAAGUAAAAGGAAAAGUAUAACAAGAGUUUGUCAAUGAUGAUGAAAUAAAUAAGCUAAUAAGGGAUGAUAAAGCCACUAGUUUUCUCAAAUUGAUGAGACAUGGUGAUUAUAGUGUGGUCGACUAACUAAAGAAAACCUUAGCUUAGAUAUCCUUAGUCUCUUUUAUCUUGAGUUUAAAACCAUAUCAGGAGAUUAUAAAUAAAGCAUAUGUUCUUGAAUAUAUCAUAUCUGAUUCUAUUAAUCAUCUAGUGAGAAGAAUCCAAUCCACCAACUACAUGUAUGUCUUUGAUGAUGAACUGGGUCUAGAAGGUAUUAGCAUAAUAAUCCAUUGCAUAUCAUGGUUAAAUGCAAGGAUUAUAUUAUAGCAAAGGUUUUGAUAGAUGAUGGUUCAACUUUUAAUAUGCUUUCAAAGAACAUUUUGGACCAUUUACCGGUUGAUGCAUUAGAUAUGUGUCCAAGCAAUAUGAUGGUUUGCCAUGACAAGUGAUAUGUGACAUCCAUAUGGACUUGGUCAUUGGACCACAAUAGUUUUAUGUCAUUUUAUGAGUGAUUGUGAUGCGAACUUAAAGGGUAAGAACCCUAGAAUCUACAAUCAAGAUAGAACACGAUUAAAAAAAAAUCAAGUUGAAAAGAAUUUGACCUAAUGAUUACUUGAACCAAAUAACCGUACUUAUUGGAUGAAAAACCCCGAUUUGUUGAGUAUAACAAACUAAUAACCAAAGGUAUAAGAUUAAAAACUAGAUGUUUUGAUUAUAAUGAACAAAUAACUAAAGGUAUAAGGAUUAAUGCCAUAAAGAACUAAUCUUUGAUAAGUUCUAAAGGUUCUAUGAAGAACUAAGAGUAAAAAGAGACUCUCCCACACAAGUUUUAUUUUUGAAUAAUCAAUCCAUCUCCCUAAAUACAAGAUAAAUAACCUUAUUUAUAAUAGGUAAAACAUCUUAAAUAAGGCUGAAAAAUUAACAAAAUAGGAAAAAUAAAAUAGGAAAAAUAAUCCUAAAUAAACUAGGAAAAUAUUGCAAAUCCCAAAUAGUAAUUUUUAGGCUAUAUCGCAAGGCCUUCUCGAUGCCUAAUCUCUACUAAAUUUCAAACUUAUACGAAACAAAGCCUUUUAAUCCUCUAGAAAAAUACUAGCUUGAUUUAAUGAUUGAAUAAAAAGUUAUGCCCAUUAACAUAAAACUAUACAUUAGAAAAAUAAGCUCAAUCCACAUGUAAGUAGGAAAACAAGUUGAAUCCACAAUUCUCGUAGGAAAUAAGACUUAAAUUCCUUGAAUUAGCCUAUUGGAUGCCUCUUUAAUCUUCUUAGCUCCUAACCUUGUAAUAAACCUAAAUGACACAUGUAAUGAAUCUUGUGGUGUUACUUGAUGAUUCUCAUCAUUUUUUCUCUCCUCAAAAGGAUUCGGUCACAAAUCAUCACCUUUCUUUGAUGUUGACUCGUUUUUGGAAAACAUAUUUGAAAGCUAUAAAAUAUAUUAGUAAUAAAAACCACAUACUCUCUUAUGUAUUUGCACCUAAAGAUAUGUCACUUCACUCAUGUUCCACUUUUAACUUGGCUUUUUUCAAUUUUAUUCUCACACCCUCUUGCUUUUUAUCACUCUUAACUAUCCUAUUUAGUUUUUUUUAUUGAAUCAAAAAAAGUCACCUUAUGUAGUUUAAUCAAUUAAUGCAACAAGGCAAGAUUUGAAUCAACCUGAUUUUGUGAUUUGAUCGUCCUUCUAUCUAUCUCUCUCUCUCUCUCUCUCUCUCUCUCUCUAUAUAUAUAUAUAUAUAUAUAUAUAUAUAUAUAUUGCAUAAUACUAAAUUGAUAUAAAACUUUUCCAUUUUUAUCAAUGAAAUUGCAAACUGAAAAACUAGGAUAAAGUUGAAACUAACAAAGGAUACAUGAUUCAAAACAUGAAAAAAAAAAAAAUUUAAAGAUAUAUAGAUAUAUAAAACUUGAUUUUAGAGCCAAGCUUUAAUAUCAACUUAUAUGAACUCGGAGGGUAAGAACCUUAGAACCCAUAAUACUGAGAUUUCUUUGUAAUUUCUAUUUAUGGUUGAAACCAAAUUUAUCAUUUUUUUUUCUUUUCAUCUUGCUUUUUUAUAUAUAAUUAAUAAAAAUGCAACACUAAGCUAAACUAGAGAACAAACUGAAAUUCAAGACACAAGAACUAUGGUUCAACAAUUUUAAAAGAACUGAACCUAACAAAGAACUUGAUCUUUUUAUUCCUAGUGUUGUUAUUUAUUUGUUAUAGGAUUUUAAGGAUGUGUUUUUUGACGAUGUUCCUAGUGGUUUGCCACUAUUAAGGGGAAUAGAAUAUCAAAUUGAUCUUGUAUCCUGAGCUGCGAUUUCUAAUCAACCAGCCUAUAAAAGUAAUCCCGAUGAGACAAAAGAUCUUCUAGGACAAGUUAAGGAGAUGAUGUCUAAAGGGUAUAUAAGAAAGAGCAUAAGUUCAUGAGUAAUUAUCGUAGUACUUCUUCCUAAAAAUAAUGGAUGUUAGAGGAUGUAUGUUGAUUGUUGUACUAUCAACAACAUUACAAUAAAGUAUAAACAUCUUAUUUCUAGGCUAGAUGAUAUGUUAGAUGAAUUGCAUGGUUCAUAGUUUUUUACUAAGAAUAAUUUGAAAAGUGGAUAUUAUCAUAUUAGAGUGAAAAAAAAAAGAUGAAUGAAAAAUUGCUUUUAAGACUAAAUAUGAUUUGUAUGAAUAGUUAAUCAUAUUGUUUGGUCUUACUAAUGUUCCUAGUACAUUUAUAAGAUUGAUGAAUCAUGUUUUGCAUGUAUUUAUAAGCAAGUUUGUUGUUUAUUUUGAUGAUAUCUCAGUAUAUAGUAAAAGUAUAGAUGAGCAUAUUAAAAAAUUGUUUUAUAUGUUUAAUUAUUUAAGAAAAGAAAAACCAUAUUUUAAUUUAAGGAAGUGUACUUUUUUCAAGUAAAAAUUAUGUUUCUUAGAUAUGUUAGUGCAAAAGGUAUAGAGAUGGGUGAGAAAAAUGUGAAGACUAUCCAAUAAUGGCCCACACUUAAAUCUAUUACUAAGGUAAGAUGCUUUUAUAGUUUGACUAGUUUGUAUAAGAGAUUUGUUAAGGAUUUUAGCACAUUAGCCUCACCGAAGUUGUUAAGAAAUCUAUUUGGUUUAAAUAAGAUAUUGAAUAACAAAAUGCAUUUUAUUUUAUUAAAGAAAGGCUUUGUUCGAAUCUUUAUUAAAAUUACCUAACUUUUCUAAAAAAUUUAAGAUCGAGUGUGAUGCCUAAAAAGAGAUAUUGAAGCUGUUUUAAUAUAAUAAAAAAGUGACUAAUUGUCUAUUUCAGUGAAAAGUUUAAUAGAGUGGUAUCAAAUUCCUCAAUUUAUAACAAGGAGCUUUAUGCAUUGAUAAGGAUUUUGAAGACUUGACAACAUUACUUAUAGCUUGAAGAAUUUGUUAUUCAUUCAGAUUAUGAGUCACUGAAGCACUUAAAGGGAUAAUAUAAAUUCAAUAAGAGGCAUGCUAGGUGGGUAGAGUUCAUCAAAACCCUUCCAUAUGUUAUUACAUACAAGUAAAGUGAGGAUAAUAUAGUGGUUCUUACAUUAUCUAGGAGUUACGUCUUUCUAUCUACUUUAAAUGUGAAAUUAUUAAGCUUUGACUAUGUUAAAGAUUUGUAUGCCAAUGAUAGUAAUUUUGCUAAUGUGUAUUAAAUUGGUAAGAAGUCAGCUUAUAGUAAGUUUUAUAAACUUGAUGUUUAUUUAUUUAAAGAAAAUAAAUUUUGUGUGCUUGAUAGUUUUAUGUGUGAAUAAACUUUGGGUUUAUUUUCCUAAAUUUGCGAUGUUAGUGAAAGUUUUAGUUUGUAAAUUAGAUAUAAAAAAAAAUUAUUUGAGUGUGUUUGUGAUUUUAAUGAAAUUUGUUUUUAUUUUUAUUGUUGAAAAAAUAAACAUAAUAUAAUGAAUGUGAUUUGGCACAUGCAAGAUUGGGAAUGUGCUGAGGAGCAGGUCUAUAGAGGACUUCAUGUUCUGAGGUAAAGUGAUUGAUGCCAAAUAAGGUGAAAUUUCCUUCGUGAAAUGUGGUUGAUUCUUGUAAAAUAAGUUGUUAAUUAUUAUUUUUUUGUUUACAUGUUGAAUUGAUUAAAAAAUAAUUGGUUAGAAUUGGUAAAUUUGAAAUUAAUAAUUAAAUGAAGUGAAUGAUGAAUUAUUGAUGAAGUUAAAAAUUGUUGGUAAUGUUUAGAUUAUUGAUGAAGUUAAAAAUUGUUAGUAAUGUUUAGAUUUUGUUAUGUAAUUUUGAUUUCAAGAGUUGAUGAAGUUGAAAUUGGAAAUUAAAUAGUUUAGCAAAAUGUUUUUUAGAAUUUAUAUACACAUUGUAUUUUUCAUGUAUGUUAAAAAUAUAUUUUUAACAAUUUUAAAAGAUGUUUGAAGUGUUUUGUAAUAAUAAUGAUAAUAAUACUCAUUAAAAAAAUAAUAAUUGAAAAGUUUUAUAUUAAAACAAAAAAUAAUAGUGAUAUUUUUCUAAUACAAUAAAAAUAUAUUUAAAAGUACAGUUACUUUUUAAAAAAUUAUUUAUUUAAAAAUAUAAUUAAAUAAUAUUUUUUUAAAAAAAUUAUUUAUAACAUCAAUAUAAAAUAAUUUAAAAAUAUAAAUAAAAUAUUUUUUUUUAUAAAAUAUUUUUUGAAACGAAAUUCCAAAAAUAUAUAAUUAAGAAAGGGAUUGACGACAUCAUUUGGCUUUCCUCAAAAUAUAACACGACAACAGACUAGAGAAUAGAAGAGCUCUGUCUUCGUUACUCCUCUUUCAGGCGAAAACCUAAUCCCCAAAUAAUCUUCUGAUUUGAUUUCUCAAAACUCAGUCAAAUCAAAUCAAUAAAAAAAUGGUGUUGGCAGAGUUAGGGGGGAGUAUAUCCCGAGCAAUCCAGCAGAUGAGCAAUGCUACAAUCAUCGACGAGAAAGCAUUAAACGAUUGCUUGAACGAGAUCACUCGCGCUCUUCUUCAAUCCGAUGUUCAAUUCAAGCUUGUUCGUGAUAUGCAAACCAAUAUCAAGAAAAUCGUCAAUCUUGACGAUCUCGCCGCCGGUCACAACAAGCGCAAAAUCAUCCAGCAAGUAACCACCACCUUUUUUCUUACAAAUUUUUUCAAUGUUCAAUCUUUCUUUUCCUUUUUUUUUUUUAAAUCCCGAAUUAAUUCAAUUUAAUUAUUAAUAAUAAUAAUAAUAAUAAUUCAGGCAAUAUUCAACGAGCUGUGCAAAAUGUUGGACCCAGGAAAGCCAUCUUUUACUCCAAAGAAAGGAAAAACUAGUGUUGUUAUGUUUGUUGGUUUACAAGGUAUUUCUAUUUUCUUGGACUGAUUUUUAUAGUUUUUUAUUUAUUUAUAAAAAUAAAACAGGAGUAAUGAAGUUUUUUUAUAUGUAUAAUUUAGGGUCGGGGAAAACAACAACAUGUACGAAAUAUGCGUAUUAUCACCAGAAGAAAGGGUGGAAACCAGCGCUAGUUUGCGCUGAUACUUUCAGAGCUGGUGCUUUUGAUCAGCUGAAACAGAAUGCUACUAAAGCUAAGAUUCCAUUCUAUGGAAGGUAGGUAGGUAGUGAUAGUUAAUAAUUGUAAGUUAGUGAAUUCAAUGCCUUGUUGUUAUGAAUUGAAAAUGGUUGGAAUGCAAAUUAUUGUUUUGUUGGUGUGUACAGCUAUAUGGAAUCGGAUCCUGUUAAAAUUGCUGUGGAAGGUGUGGAGAGAUUCAAGAAGGAAAAUUGUGAUCUUAUAAUUGUUGACACUAGUGGGCGGCAUAAACAGGAAGUUGCGCUUUUUGAAGAAAUGCGACAAGUUGCUGAAGCAACGGUAUUUUUCUUUUUUUGUUAGUGGUUUUACAUGAUCUGAUUACCACGCAAGUAGUCACUGAAUGUCAUUGGCACUAAAAAAAAUGUUUCUUUUCUGUUUUGACACUUCCAGAAACCGGAUCUUGUUAUAUUUGUCAUGGAUAGUAGUAUUGGUCAAGCUGCAUUUGAUCAGGCUCAAGCAUUUAAGCAAAGUGUUGCAGUUGGAGCUGUGAUUGUUACCAAAAUGGAUGGUCAUGCUAAGGGUGGUGGUGCACUUAGUGCGUGAGUAUUUCUUGCAGUUUUGUACUCACUCACUCUAUAUUCAUGGUUUGAUUAAGUGUGUUGAGGAAAGAUCUUACACCAAUAAAGCUGGCAUUUAUUUUUAUUUUUUUGAUAAUGAAGAUAUCUUAUCACCUUCGUUCUAUACAGGAUUAACUUCCAUAUACCUUUAAGUUGAUAUUCUGAAGUUGCUGCAUUUGGGAUUUUUUAUUUUCUUUUGCAUGUAUUUCUUUCAUGUGUCUAUGUCAUGUCCUUUCCAGUUGUUGGAAUGAAAUAUAGGUAUUUUUGUUGGGACAUUGAUACCUAACUAAUGGAAUGCUUACAAUAUAGCCAUUUCCCGAUAAAAUAAUCAUGUCAAUGUUGGUCUAAAUUAUCUUUCCUUCAUGUUUGGCUGUAUUUAACAGAAGCACAAAAAAAGACUUUGCUUUUGGAUCACCAACAUAUAUUUCUUGAUACUAAGCUUCCUUUUGUUUAAAUAUUUAUACUAAUUGUUUUAGUACAAUGUGUGCAGUGUUGCAGCAACAAAGAGUCCUGUCAUUUUUAUUGGCACAGGAGAGCAUAUGGAUGAGUUUGAAGUCUUCGAUGUUAAACCUUUUGUUAGUCGGCUUUUAGGUAUGCACCUCCCUUCUUUCAGUUUGACACCUUUGCUCUGAUGAUGUUAUUCUGCAUUUGAAAUUUGUUUGGGUGCUCAUGAUGCUUAAAGUCCUUCCAUAAAAAUGCUUUUCCUACCAGGUAUGGGUGAUUGGUCUGGUUUCAUGGACAAAAUCCAUGAGGUUGUUCCUAUGGAUCAACAACCAGAGCUUCUGCAAAAACUUUCUGAAGGGAACUUUACCUUGAGGAUUAUGUAUGAACAAUUCCAGAAUCUACUAAAAAUGGGUCCCAUUGGGCAGGUUCUCAUUGAACUCCCCUGUUAAUCUUUGUUACGUGGUGUUCUAUUUUGAUUAUUUUUAUCAGUUGUGUCUAUGGUAAGGGAAAAAAAUGUUUUCUUAUCAAUAACUUCUUUGUGACUGCCAUCAUAUCUAAUGUAAGUGCUAGUUUGUGGAUAGUUGAAUAACAUUUUCCCCUUCACAUGUUCAGAAAAAAUCUACCAUCUUAGGAGAGUUUCUAUUUUGUUAUUUCUCAUUCUGGCUUGAUUCUAAUAUGAAUUACAGUUUGUAAUUGCCUGCUCUUUUGUCAAGUAGUAGACUGAAAUGUUUGAAAGCAUUAGGUAUUUAUUGCCUAGGAUAUUGUCCAAUUCAUUUAGUUCCACAAUUAAACUUUUGUGGAUCAGAAAUUCUUUAUUAGAUAACUUGUUAACUACUAUCAGAUUAAACUCCCAACUUUUUCUUCCUGUCACUUCUCUCAGUGCUGUAGUCCAAUCUCUCACAAGUCACCAGUUCCUGUGAACUUUAGCAGAGCCUCUGAACUUUGUUUUGGCAGAAAUAUACUUGUGUAGAGAUAUGUCCUGGACUUUUUAUCUUCUAAUCUCUGAUAUUCACAGGAAAUCAAUAAGAUUAACCCAAUAUGCAAUUAAUGGAUGAGCUUUUUUCUACAAGAAAAUGCUCUUGCAUCAUGUUCUUAAAAUGAUACAAGUUAUACCCAAGUUAGAUACAAGAAUCUGACACUGGAAACUGGAGGUAGCUUCGAUAGCAAUACAUUUAGGCCUUCCCUAUUUUUUCUCACAUGGGAAAACUUUUAACAAAAAAAAAAGGGAAGUGAUAUCUCUUAUGCAUUUCUUAUCCAAUUUGAUUGCUGCUUUAGAUACAGGUCUGAUUUGAUUUGUUGCUAUCCACACUUUAACUUGUUUGACUACUAUACCUCAAAGAAUGAAAAUGAGAGAAGCUAGUGAGAGGGAGGCAAAUGGUGCAGAAAAAACUGAAGAAAACAGAGAGAGAGAGAGAGAGCUUUUAAUCUGUCCCGAAUUAGUUUUAUACAGUUGCAUGAACUCCAUUUUUUUGCAUGAACAAUUCAUGACACACUAAGUUGAACCAUCCAAUUAAAUUAGUUGGGCUGAGCAAUAAACAAUAGUACCAUUCAAGGUAAUAAAGGCUUGAGUAUAGUGAUGUUACUGUCCAUGCUGACUGAAAUGCUUCUCUCUCCCUCAACCCUUUCUCCCCUUCUUCCAUUUAUUUGAGUUGCGACUUUCAGCUUAUUAUUCCUUUGGUCUCCUUGUGUAGGUGUUUUCAAUGCUUCCUGGAUUUAGUUCUGAAUUAAUGCCAAAAGGUCGUGAAAAGGAAAGCCAGGCAAAGAUUAAGCGCUAUAUGACCAUGAUGGAUUCAAUGACUAAUGAAGGCAAGUAAUGCAAUUGAUAUAUUUAUGUCAAGGAUGUUGUCUCUUGGACAUUGAAAACAUAAUUGUUGAUUGAAGCUAUGGGGUUUCUUAUCUAAUAUCUAUUGCUGCUGAUCUUUUACAGAGUUGGAUAGUUCAAAUCCAAAGCUUAUGAAUGAGUCACGUAUUAUGAGGAUAGCACGGGGUUCAGGCCGUUCAGUUAGAGAUGUAAUGGAAAUGUUGGAAGAGUACAAACGACUUGCUAAGAUCUGGAGCAAAAUGAAGGGACUUAAGAUUCCAAAGAAGGGUGAAAUGAGUGCCCUUUCUAGAAACAUGAAUGCACAACACAUGAGCAAAGUUCUCCCACCACAGAUGUUGAAGCAGAUUGGUGGUAUGGGUGGCUUGCAAAAUUUGAUGAAGCAAAUGGGUUCUGCCAAGGACAUGAUGGGCAUGUUUGGAGGUGGGGACAAGUAAAUGAGUGAUUAGAAGUUUAGGAAACUAUAAAUGAGUUAAAUUGGUUUUUAGCAUUGCCUGGCUGGAUAGGAAGAGGUAUGGAAUGGUUUAGUAGGGAAAUGGUGCCUCCAACAGUUUUUAGCAGACAUUCUUGAAAGAUUAAGGCCUUUGACUCAAUUCGUUUUAUUUUUCUCCUCCCUUUUUCUGAAACAGCGGUGCAGUCUUGUAACAAUAACUGUGGCUGUCAAAGUCUUUCCUGUUUUAUUUGUAUUUAUUCAAGGCGGGUGAAAAAAUAGAUGUCAUGUCUAAGCAUAAAAGGAUGUAGAGCUAAAGAUGUGGAUUUUGCAUAAUAAAUUGGGCUUUUUUUCUUGUCAGAGUUCCAUUCGAAGAUGCUUCGUGAGAAUUUUGCUUUCUCACUAUUUCUUGAUAUUUGCUUUACUUCUUGCCCAUAUUAUCUUCAUUUCAUCUGCAAUCCUUACUUAUAAGUUGACGGAUUAAUCUUUUGCACCUAUAAAUAUUGCCAGAGGCUGUUUCUCAGGACUGUGAUAGGAAGAACCUUCGCCAAAAAUCACCUAUAAAUAUUGCCAGAGGCUGUUAUGGAGUCUAUAUAUGUAUGUCUUGCCUGUUUUGAUUACGUGAAAAUGGCAAGCCUCUCCUUCCUUCCAUGUCACAUUAACAAAAAUCCAAAAACCUAAAUGAGAUGAGUACUGUGUAAAAAGGUUUUUGCACUUCUCAACAAAAAACCAAUUACCUUGCUUAUGGUGGUAACACGGUUUUUUUCUCGUAACUCCUUGAUUAUUAUUAUAUUGAUUUAAAUAAAAAAAAAUUUUAAUUUUUUUUAGUAUAUUAAAAUGAUUUAAAUGCUCUUCAAAGCAAAAAGAAACACCUAAACUAAUUUUUAGAGGCUUUUUAGUAUUUCUUUUUUCUCUUUUUAGGUGUUUUUGUUUUUUCAGUUUGGUAUUAUUUUUGUUAUAAUCAAGUUCACUUAGAGGUGAAUUGGUAAUUUAUUUAAAAUAAAUAUUAUUAAAAGAAGCAUGGAUGACUCCCACGCCUUUCGAUCAGCACGUGUAGUAUUAUUCGGUGGUUAUACACCGCCUUCCACAGCAGCGUUGGAAGCGUCCCGACGUGGUCUUCAUGGUGGUCAUGGCGUUGGGCUUCGUUGAAUUUUUUUAUUCUCCUCUCUCUUUUAUCUCUAAUAUCCUUGUCAAAAUACAAAGGUGUUUGAUAAUUUGUUUUCUUGUAUCCAAUUUGAUUCUUAUUUUUUUAUUUGUAUUUGUUUUAUUUUUUAUUUGGUUUUUUUAUUUUAUUUUUCAAUUUUAUCCAUGGUCAUUUGAUUUCAUAUAGUUUAUAAAUUAAACUUAUUCCUUAUUUUUUUGAUUAUUUUCUUUUAGCCUUUUUCUAAUUAGAUUUUGUUCUCAAUUUCAUUACUCAAUAUUUUGUUAAUUGAGGAUUUUGCUUCCUUUUUUUUUUAGACUCAUAUUCUAAAUCGCGAGUUUUGAAAGUUAACACGAGUUGAUUUUAGUCUUUUUUAGGUCCUUUUUAUUUAUUUUUUAUUUUCAUCCUUUAAUAUUUGAUUUAUUAGAAAUUGUCCUUCAUGCUUCUUUUUUUCACUUUUAUUUUUCUUAGUUUAUCCCAAUCCUAUAUCAUGGUUGUUGGAUUAGUGAGUUAACCCGGGUUAAUUUGGAUUUUUUUUGUUGCUUUUUUAAAUUAAUUUUUUUUAGUUUUGCCCUUUAAUAUUAAGUUAUUUAGUAAUUAAACUCAAUAAUUUUAUUUAAUUUGUUUUUAACGAGAUUACCUUAGCAUCACGAACAAGUUGCACAUUUAACAUGCUAUCCAUUUAUACAGCUCCGAAUGGUACUUUUCCAAGAGAUUUCUCUCACAAAAGACUUGAACCAAGAAAGUUAAUGUCAAAGCAAACUUAGUAAACAAAAAUUACCUUCCAAAAAAUUGUCGUAAUGCAAGUUUUCAUGCCAAAGAGGUGACAGGUAGCGUUCAAACCAAGUCCUUUCAACGUGAGAGACUAGGGAUCAAAUAAGACAAUUGAACAAACAUGCAACCCUGAUACUGUGUUGUCAGCACCUUUUAUUAAAAACAAAUUUCCUUGGAUUCCUUACAAUUUCUUUUUAUUCCUUUAUUAUAAAGAAACUCUAAAAAGUAUGGGUUUUCACUAUAGUAAUUUACAUUGAAAAUCUCAUUUUAUCCUUUUAAAAACCAUCAAAUUGACUAGUUAUUUUGGGGUAAAAUAGUAUUUUUUAUAAGGAUACAUUUGCAUUGUCAAAUUCAAUUGGGUCAAAUUGAUUUUUUUUACAUUAUUUGAGAACCGUGCAAUUGCACGACUAAAAUAACAUUUCAAGCAAAAAAUAAUGCACAUGUUUUUUUUGUCUUUUACUCUUUUUUUUAUAUAUAUAUUCACGUUAACUAAGAGGUAAUUUUGUCUUUAUGUAAAUAUAAAAUAUUAAUAAAAAAAGUUGGUUUUUAUACAUAAUGAAAUGACUUAACUAUCAUUGAGAUCAAAAAAUGUAAAGCUUUUUUGCAAGGGCUAUUUGUCUUUUACACUUGGUUUUUUUUGUUAUACUCAAGAUAAUUUGAUCUUUUUAAAAUAUGAAAUAUUAAUAAAAAAAAGGUGGCUAGGGUGUCACUCACACGCCAAUGAGUGGAUGUUGGUCGCAUCAUAUGGACAAUGCAUGUUGCAUCGUUUAAUAGUCAAACACUGCCUUCUUCGAUGGUGUUGAAAGCAUGUUGACACCAUCUUCCUAGUGAUAUGGUGCGUAUGUAACGUGGCACAAUGUUUGGCUCUGGUGGACUUUUUUCUUCUUUUCCCUUUUUUAUCUCUCUUUUUUUGUCAAAGUAUGAAGGUGUCAUAUCAUUUAUUUUUUAUAUUUAAUUUGGUCCUUAUUUUUUUAUCUUUUUUUUAUUAAUUUUGUUUUUCAAUUUUCCCCAUCAUCAUUGAUUUUUAUUGGUUCCUUUGUAAAAUUGAUUUAUUUUUCAGUUUCAUCCUUCAACAUUUGAUUUUUUAGAAUUGGUCUUCAUGCUUCUUCUUUUUUCAAUUUCUUUUUUGUGGGGUUAUCUCAAUCCUAUACUCAUGAUCGCAGAGUUAGCGGGUUAACUCAUAUCUAUUUUUUCUUUUUUUUCUAAAUUAAUUUUUUUUUCAAUUUCAUCACUCAAUAUAUUUUUAUUGAGAAUUUUUCUUCAUUGUUUUUUAGGUAUGCCUUCUAUACAGUCAAUCUCAGCCUCAUGAUCAUGGUCACAAGUUUUAAAUGUUAACACGAGUUAACUUUGGUUUUUUUCUAGGUUUUUUUUUCAAUUUCAUCCUUCAACAUUUGAUUUUUUAGAAUUGAUUUUCAUGCUUUUGUUUUUAUUUUCCUUUAUAUAGAGCUAUCCUAGUCUUGUUUUCAUGGUCGCGGGGUUAGCGGGUUGACCAAUAUCUUUUUUUCAUUGCUUUUGUUUUUUUUAGUUUCAUCAUUCAACAUUGAGUUGUUUGAUAGUUAAGUUUCUUAGUUUUAUUCAAUUUGUUUUUUUUAAUGAUUUGUUUUAUCUUUAUUGGCAAAGAUAAUUGUUUGAUUAAAUAAAAAUUUUAUUCUAAAAAACAAAAUUAUUAAACGCAAGUACAUAGGUGAUGUUACAAGAUCAAAUAUUUUAAUCUUAAUUAUGUUUUGAUCAAAUAUCGAUUUAUUUAAUUAAAUGUGUGUAUAGGUAUUUUGAUUUAUAAUUGAAAUUGUUUUAUAUCAAAAAACACGUUAGAAAAGUUUGUAUAUUUAUUUUUUUACUGAAAAAAAAAUUACUCAACUUAUGCCGAAACACAAAUCAAAUAGUUAGUUUUGAUAAUUAUGCAUCUUAGUCCAAAACUUAAUUUUCUUUACAUAUCAAUCCAUGAGAAAACAACUUAGGACAAAUAAACAAUUUUGUUGACCACAAUCCAAUAAUAAAAAAAUCAUUCUUGGAGUCAAUAACUUCAUCUUUUUUAGAGGAGUUCAGUGACAACGUUUCUUGGUAAACAUGCUUGAAAAGUAGAUUGAGCUCUUAUAAAGUUUUUAAAUUUUGUUGUUUUUACUAUUUUAAGUGAUUUUUGAGUGUUUUAGAUUUGAAAAUGGGUUUAUCAAAGUUGUUAGGGUAUUUUCAGGUGAAAGGAGUUGGAAAAUAGGUUUUUAACAUCUAAAAACUUGGACUCUGAUUUUUCAACUAUUUCCAUGGUGUUCAAGGAGCUAGGUCAAGAGAUCUCUGUGUUAAUCUCUGAGAUUAAUAAUGUUGCCAAAGAGUUUCUUAUAACAACGCACUAGCAAUAUUCUUAUAUUUUUUAAUAUAUUUGCAUUGAAAUUAUUAUUUUUUUUUUAAAUCAAGAUUUGCUUUUAUAUUAUGGUAAGAUGUUGUCCAAAAAAACAAAAUUUCUAAUACAAAAUUACCAAAAACAAUUGAUCACGUUAAUAGAUAAAGAGGUUUUAUAUAGCACAAUUUUUUUUUAAUGUUUGUUCUUAUUGUUUUUUUUUUUUUAUUAAAUGAAUGACAUAGAAGAAUAAAAAAAAUAGAGGUAACAAAUAUUAAUAAAAAAAAUAAAAGGUAUACUAGCAAUUUAUUUUUUUUCAAGAAAAUCCAAAUUAUUAAUCUUUUUAUAUAUAAAAAAUGUCGCUAUAUAAAUAAAUAAACAAAACUUUAAAAGCUCACUGUAGAACAUGGUCAGUUGUCUUGAUCUAGUCUUUUGUUAAUAUUAAUCUCUUUUUUAAAAUUUAUUUGCACAUAGAAACAUCGAUCAGCAAAUCGAGACCAGCAAACUAGCAAUAACUAAUGAAGGGCUUGGUUUCACAGCAAAUCGAGACCUAUUUCCCCCCUGAAUUUGCCUAAAAUAUCAUCUCUCAGAGGCAUUGAAAGAAAACUAACAAAUUGCAUUAUUUAUUAAGAAAAAUGUCGCAGGUAACGCCAACAUCUCCAACUUUAUCAUCACUGUUGUAUUCAAUUUCACGCCUACAUUUUCUCAACUAUUAUAUAUCAUCAGGUUUGUGCAUAUACGCAUCAAGUUCACAGUCAAAGUCUGAUUCUCUCCAUAACACGAUCAGGAGAAAAAUGCCGAGGUUUCAAGUCGUCAAACACCAUGAUCUCAAAAACAAGCUGUCCUACUCAUGUUGCUCACAAAGGUCAGGCAUCUUCAACAACUCUUUGCAUGUUUUGUAUCUUGUCUCAUGCCAGAGUUUCUUGCGGAGAACUUCAGAAAGACUAAAAUCGGAUGCAAAUUUUUAGUUCGGGAUAGGUACACAGACAGAGAUAUCUCGGGGUGAAUAGGAUCAAUUCUUAACCAAAUUAUCAUACUCAACAGACAACCAACCAAACGAUAAUCACAUAUUAGCAACUACAAAUCGAGAUUUGUUUAACUUUUCAUUGAAUACAUUCUCAAUUGGCUUUCAAGAAAAGAUCUUUCUUACCACUAACAUCUUCUACUGGGUCGAGAGCAUGGGAGCCGAGAGAGGGGAAAUUUGAGUUCUUGGGAACAAAAAUGGUGUCUUUAAAUUCUAUAAUUAUUAUAUAUACAGUCCCACAAUCUGAGAUCAAAAGUUCAAAUUAUCAUACUCAACAGACAACCAACCAAACGAUAAUCACAUAUUAGCAACUACAAAUCGAGAUUUGUUUAACUUUUCAUUGAAUACAUUCUCAAUUGGCUUUCAAGAAAAGAUCUUUCUUACCACUAACAUCUUCUACUGGGUCGAGAGCAUGGGAGCCGAGAGAGGGGAAAUUUGAGUUCUUGGGAACAAAAAUGGUGUCUUUAAAUUCUAUAAUUAUUAUAUAUACAGUCCCACAAUCUGAGAUCAAAAGUUCAAAUUGCUAGUACAUGAAAAGAUGAGUUAAAUAGAGCAACAAGAAAAUUUCAGCAAUUGCCCAUUUCAAGUCGCCAACAAAAAGGUUUCCAUUACACUAUUUUCCUAUGAGCAUGAACAGACCAAAUACAUAUUCCAUGGGCCGUAAUCAGAUAUUAUUGCAAAAGACAAUUCUUUCUCCAUUCUAUUGCUGCCAGUCCUAAGAAAUACGUAUCAUUGUAAAAUUCAAGGGCAAAAAAUGAACACAAAGGCCAACACAUACCAGUGAGAUAUCCUGAAAGCCACCAAUUACAGCAGCUGCAGAUCAUCGGAUUCUUUAGUAUCUGAGAAAACCCGGUGCCAUUUUAACUUUAAUAAUACUAAACUAGCACAUACUAAACCAAAAUUGCACCAGAAAAAUAAGAACUUUCCCACACUUCAAUACCCUCAACAUUUUCCCUACUAACAAACAACCUAUCUCCGCCACCUUCAAUUUUCCUUAUCACCCCUCUGUUUGAAUCCUCCACUUUAUCCACAAAAUUUCUCCUAUACAACCCCUCUCCAACUCCGUUAUUCUCUUUUGACCAAACCUCUAAACUCCCAUCUCUUCCUACAAAAACCUGGCUCUUGUAACAAUGUAGCACACUACUACUUGCACCACCAAUAAAUCUCAUGCUAGGGUUCUUCUCGUUAAUAUAGACCCACGGAUCAUCCCCUAACUUGCGCAAAUCUGCCACUGCUAAAUCACCAGACUUCGAGCAGACUUUAAACAACGUCAACCCACCCACGUCAACGUCCACGUCCGCAAACGAAUCUCCGAACCUGCUGCUUCGUCCCGAACCUGGCUCACUCGUCUCCCAAAUCACCUCCCCAUUCCGUGGGUCCCACAUUCUAAUAUAUCCUGAAUAACCAAACGCCCCACAUGUAACCGCCGAUCCGAUUAAUGCGCCGGUCUCCGGAAGCCACGUCAGCUUCCCGGGGACCGUGUUCUUGGAAGCGCCCCCCGAUUGUCUCGUGAUCUCUGAUGAGAUCUGAAGCGUUGAUUUGUCUAUUGAUAGUAUGCAGUUCUCUCUGUGUGGACAGUCAAAGGAGGCAAAGAUUUGACUUGAU